UUGAACACAUGAUACUACGAUACUCAUGUUGCUGUCUCAUUAUUUUGAUGGAUGGUAAUGACUGAAUGGACUAUGAUUAUCACCAUUCCUUUAGAUUAUGUGAUUUUUGUCAAGAUAAGCUGGCAAAAUAUUUUCUUGUAUUUUUAGAAUGUGUUUUGAGCUGACCAUUUAGGCCAACCACCUUGAACUGGCUGGUUCUAUUUGAUUUAAUAGUUAAUAAUAUAUGACUCUUUUAGAAAUCACCUAAUUGGUUUGGAGUUGCGCAAAGCAAGAAUGGAUCGAGAGGCUGGCAAUUCUGGGCUGAAAAAUCCCAGUGCCCCAAUUCUCACUUUUUCAGUGUUUCCUCAAAAUUUCUUGUUUAAAAUCCUGGUCCAACACAUGGAUUACUGAGUCAGACUGUGGGAACUUGGGCUGGGACCCCUGGAGAAUCAGAGGCGAGUCCAAAUUUUGUAAACACUGUUUACACAGUUCUUUUCUAUUUCCAAUGGAUUAAUAUGUAUGCCCAUUAUGCUUUCUUAUGAUACAGAACAUAAAAUAUGUGACAAGUUCCCAGUGAUGAUGAUAUAUAAUAAAAAAUAUGAAAUGUUAGAUGUGAAAAAGUUUGAACCCCAUGGAUCAAUUGAUGGUGGGGAUUAUGACGGGGAAAAGUUUCUUGUCUAUUCUUGAAAAGCUAGAAAAAUGGUUGGAAGGGAUUAUGAACGGGCAAAGUUUCUUGUCUGUUCCUGAAAAGCUAGAAAAUGGUUGGUGCAGAGGCUAUUCUAUUAGGGGGGGCAAGUAGGGGGUCCUAUAUCUUUUAUCAAAUCAUAGCACUCUCUCUCUCUCUCUCUCUCUCUCUCGCCCCACCAGGUGGUCUGAUAGCCUCUCUCCCUCUCUCUCUCUUAUCGCCGAUACCUCCUCUCUCUCUCUCUCACACACAUGGACACCUUAACCCAGUUUUAGCAGCAUUAUGCUGUUGCUUUCUUAUUUCCUGUACCCUGACUAUUGAGUAACUAAACCUUUGAAUGACAUGGAUCACUUAUUGUUAUCAAAACUACAAAAUGCAAUCAAAAGCAAACAAGAGCGGUCGCUACUUUAACAUGCUCCAUCAGGAGUAUGCAUUGUAUCUGCCCUUCUGCACAUUUGUCUUUUUAAAAUUGAAACCGGUCCGUUUCCAACUUAGAAUUGAAAAUGACUGGCCACCUGCGUCUUUUUAAAGCAUUGUUAUAAUAUAUGUGAAUUAUGAGGGCAACUUUUUUAUAUUUCUCCUAUAUAGAACUCAUAUACUUCUUUUAUCCAACCGUCCAUUUUGAAUAGGCGGUUGAGAUGGUUUCAAUCACAAUGUCACUUUUAGUGGUUGGUAUGUUAUAGAUGAGGGAUCAUGUAAGAGAUCUAGUGUUUGGUAUGUUAUCGGUGAGGGAACCUGUGGUUCAUAUGUUGCAUUCUCACCGCGGCCCACAAUUCCUCCAAAGCAAGUCCGGUUUUACCAUGUGGAAGAUGUCUAGUGAUAUAUCACGUUGCUUUAAAUGCUUGAAUUUCCAUUUUAACCAUAAAAAGGCCCAUAAGCUUAAGUUUCAUUUUGGCUCCAUGAUCUCCACUACGAAAUAUGCAAAUUAAGAGGCGCAUAAGUUUCCUUAUUUGUUUUUCUUUUUUCCCCACUUAGCUCCUCAAUUAUUUUGUUAGCGAAUGCUGCUCUUGUUUGGAAUUUGUAACAUCGAAAAAUGAGGGUAGUUUUAGUAAUUUGGUUACAUAAGUUUAUCAUUAUCAUCGUCAAAGUAUUUUUUUAAUUAAUUGGAGUUGGCUAUACGAAUUCUGAUUUGUUAUUCGGCUUUAUUAAAUGCUAUAUCCUCAGUGAGGUUAUAAAUUCGUAUAUCUUUUCUCACUAUUUCCAACCAUUUAUUGUUAAGCUUAGUUUUUAUUUUUUUUUAGCCUUCCAUUUGAAUUAAUUCGCACUGUCUAACAGGUGUUGUAUUGGCUUUGUGCCAUGCAUGAUCGGUCCAACUAAGUCUACCUAAAUAAUUUAUUAAUUCCAAGCAUAGAACAAAUUUUUUUGUUUUUUUAUCGAUUAGAAAAUCUUGUUGUUGGCUUAGAAUUUAGGAGGAGCAUUAAGGAUUUACAUUUUUUGGCUUGGGUGUCAUGUGCUGGCCAAAUCAUUGAAAAGCCUGGGUUGCUCCAUUUCGACAAGAUUUUUAUUUUAAUGAAAGGCUUGUUUAGGUUUGCAAGAUUUAAGCAGGCUCAAGCGAUUUAAAAGAAAUUAUAAUUAAAAAUAAUUGUGUUAUUGGUAAAAUUGUUGAUUUUAUCAUCUUCUUAAUUUUCAGGGAGUUACUGUUUUAUUAUCUUUCCUAAUUUGUAUAAUGUAAACGGCCAAAGUAUUACUAUGGUGGCAUCUUGCUGGAACCAUGCUUAUAUAUUAGAGCAUGCAUGUUGGUUAUUGCUACAUGCAGGUGCAUAUGCUAAUUUCCAUGUAUUUGUUCGUUUGUGAAUGGAUUCAUGCAUGUGCAUGAACUGUUACUUUUAUUUACUGUUGUUACUUUUGAUUGGUUGCAUGAUUUGAUAGCACAACGUACUUAGAAACAGAAUAGAUGAGAAUAAAACAUAAAAUAUGUUGGAGUUUGUUUCGGGUGAAAUGGGGUAAAAAAAUGUUACGAUUUCAAGCAUACGAUCUCGAUCUCUUCUUGUUUUUGGGCAUGUGGGAGUGCAAUCUCAAGAUGAUAUUUACUUUUUUUCGAUAUAGUAGCAUGUGGGAGUGCAAUCUCAAGAUGAUAUUUACUUUUUUUCGAUAUAGUAUUUGAUGUGCAUAAGAAGAGCAAUUCGUUAUCGGGAUACAGAAAAACAAAUAGGUCUUUUUUAAUAUUAUUAAAAUCUAUGCACCCUAACUUAGGGUCCUUAUUGUAGAUUACCAAGAGGCUGUCCAUUUAGUGUUGUGGUGGUUACAUGUACCACCCAACAACUACAAGUUAUACGUACUUGCUCAUUAGAGUAUUGGUGGUUACAUGUACCACCCAAUAGCUACAAGUUACAUGCAUUUGAUGAUUGCUGUUACAAGUCUCUAUCUCAUCAACAGUUAGAUGACCGUUGGAUCUCCCUAUGAGUUGGAUUCACAAAAAGAUAACGAGUCAUGCCUCCAUCUUAUCAACAGCUAGAUGACCGUUGGAUGUUCUACACGCAUCAAUGGUUAGACUGUUGGAUCCUCUUACGAGCUAGGCUUACAAAAAGAUAACAAGCCACGAUCCGACAUGCACACGUGCUCGGGUGAUGGGCGUCUCAUGGGCCUAUGCGAGCAUAUAAAAUGUGCCAUCAAGAACCCUUGCGCCCUCCCGUCACCCUCGCAUAUGUACGCACGCGUCACAUGCUUCAUGUGCUCCGUACAUGCACCUUCUCUCUCAUUUUCAUGGGAGCAUGCACUCUUAAAUACAGUUCAACAAACUCUCUCCUCUUCAAUGCGAGACUCAAACUCACAUCUUUCUCUCUUUACAAAGUAAUUUAAGAAAGAACAAUAAAAUCAUAGUGUUGUUUUGAAAUAUAUAUAAGUAUUUUUCAAACCAAAAAUACUAACAAAAUACACAUCCAAAAAGGUUAUAUCCAAAGGUAAGGCAAAAUGAUAUUCACUAUAGCAAUGAAAGUCACAUCAUAGAUUUUGAAAUAUAGCAAUUAAAGUUACAUCAUAGAUUUUGUAGAUAUUGGAAUAUAGAGGUCGUUCUUUAACUUUUGACAUCUCUUUAAUCCUCAUCUCUUUAACCAUCGACAUAACCCAAUUGAACAAAACCUUUUAGAAUAGCUAACCGAUCCCACCUGCCGAUCUCCCAAAUCUAUUCAAACAUUUAUCUAUUCAGCCAUGAGGUAAAUCAGCAGCUGCUCCUCCGACAUCACCUACCAAUCACCCUUCUCUAUUUUACAACUAAACUACUUAUCUAUUCUACAACUAAACCACAGUUCAGAAAGAGACUCAUCUCUAUUCCACAGUUAAAACCAUAUCUACCGAUUCUUUCUCUCACUAAAAAAAACCACAAAAAAUUGGGAGAACUGUGAGGGCAAGAUGUGUGAUUUUGGAUAUAGCAUAUUCAACACUCUAUUCAUGGAAGUAUUUAUAGAUUUACGCGUAUAUUGUGAUUCUGCCACAGCAAAAAGUCCGUUUUUUCUGACAUCCCAGGGAGAGUUCUUUUCAGUGUGAAAUGAUUUCAUGCUCUUGUGGGAGCAAUCUGUUUAUUUGCUCCCUCAAGUAAAAGGCAAGCUAGGAAGUACUAUCAGGACCUCAAAUCUUGGGGACUAGCGAUCAACCAAACCCCCAAACAACCCCCCACCCAACAAAAAAAAAUUAAAAUUAAAGUUGGUCACUAGGUUGUGUAGGUCACUUCCCUAAACUUUAGGGUCUAAAAAAGUUAGGUUUUCCCCAAAAGGAGCAUAUGUACACUUUGUUGAUGUAGGAACAAUUUAUCUUUUCAUUAUUGGUGUGUUGUUUUUUUUUUUGGAUAAUUUACCCCUACCUGUUUUUCAACAAGUAGUUUAGUUUUUUUUGAAAGUGUUAGUGGGGUGGUGUUCGUGGGAAUAGAUUCCAUAAUGUGGUGACUAAAGUGUGGGAAUGCUACCACCAGGACCUCAGUCGCAUUUUCUAGUUUGUAUAUUUUUGUGUCAUGUUUUUGUUGGAUUUAUGUGGCCUUUAAAGGCUUUAUGAGUGCUUGUAAAAUGAAAUGAUAUAGUGGAACAUGAACUCAGUGGGAGUGUGGUCCCUCGUGGACUAUACUAAGCAAACUAUGGUUUGCUGAUACCGAUCAGUGCUUAGCGAUCUUGGCCAAUCGGUUGGGAAAGCCCCAUGUUACCUAGGCAUGAAGAAUAAACUGAUGAGGGUUUAUGGGUUAGCCCUUUAUGAGGUCGAAGAACAUGCCUGGAUGAGUGAGCCAAGGGAUUGUGUAACUUUUGUGUGUGAUGGUGGCCUACAGAGACAGAGACCAAAACGCCAUCCAUAUACCAUCACACGACAUGCAUAUCGAUAGAUCGUUCGGAAAAGCCAAAAAUCCACCUUUUAGGGUGAAGCACAUGUGCAAGAGAUACCCGCAUGCGCCAUAGAGCUGUGGUCGCAUAAGGUCUUGGUGACCUUGAUUUGUCUAUAAGGGAGGAUCUGUAAUCCAUAGACUGGGAUUGUAACCCCUUGACUCAUUCGCCAGACUUGGUGACCCGCUAAUGAGCCCUGCUUCGAUUGUGGAUCAUGGGAAACACUGGGUGGGUUCGAUAAGACAAGUGUGGUCUAUAAUCCACAGUUGAAGGUGGAAUGCCUUAUGAUUGCAGAUUAAAUUCUUUAACCAUAUGGAUCCAUUUCCUAUCAAGUUAAUUUAAUUAUGUUUGUUUUAUGAUAGAAAUUAUUUUAGAAUUAUUAUUUGAAUAUUUAUGAGUCAUUUGAUAUUUUAUUUAUAAUUUUUUUGGACUAAUAAAAAUAAAGAUAUUGAUUUUACAAAAUUAUAAAAUUCAAAUAAUAUUUUAUAUAUUUUUUUGAUAAUUUAAAAUAAUAUAAAAUAUUAUGGAGGGGCCCAUAGUGCACAUGGGCCCACCAUGUGUCAAGUGGAUACGGCCCACAUGUGCCACACAUGAGUGGCACACUCCACCCAUUGGAUUCUUUCUUGGAGUUUAAGUUAUUUCAUGUUUUGGUAAUAUUAUGUUAUGGCAUGUGGUCAAAUAAGAUAAGAAAUAUUUUGACCAAAUAUUGAAAGUGUAUAUUAACUUGAUAUAUCUUUAGAAUAUUUUGUGAAAGAUUAUGGAAUGCAUAAUAUUUUAAUUAGAUUUAAUUUAUCUAAUUUCUAUUGAUGGGAAAAUACUUAAGGAAAGGGGGAUAAUGGUCCAUGCAUCUUCCGUAAUAUUGAUGGGUCAUCUAUGGAAUGGAUGACUCAGAUCUCUUACCUUAUAAGUCACCCUUGAUCGACAGUAUAUGUUCAAUCUCGAAGAGACAAGCCAAGGAAAACCCUAAGAAAUCCUAAUUUUAUUCAAGCCUAUAAAAAUGGAUUGUCUCUACCCAAAAUCUCUACACCUUCUCUUUUUAUCUCUCUCUUAAGAAAGUUUCUCUCUCUCAUGUUUGACCUCUCUCUCCCACAUUGUAAAAGAACCUAAGGGUUUAGGUUAUGGAGUUCUUCUCUCUCCUAUCUCUCAAAUAUGGAUUUAUUACUAACGGUUUUAGGGUUUAACAAAAAAAAAAAGAAUCAAUCUCUCUCAAACUAGGUUGCUAAGAGAAUUCACUUAGGGUUUGAGUUUGUGAUCAAAAGGAUUCAUGUUCUAUUGGUGUGGAUUGGCCGAAAUUUGAUUUUCCGGUUUGAGAUUGAAGCUAGACCGUUGAUCUCACACCAUCGGAUGGUGGUGACUCGAUGUGCGGUGUAAUAAGCCCUGUUGAAGUAAUCUCCGGCCUUUUGUUUCUUACAAUCUUAUCUUUUAUUAUCAAUCAUAGUGCAUAGUUGUUUCAAUGAUAUCAAGUUGUUAAGAUCUUGAUUUUAUUGUUAUGUUGAUUUUUUUUUGAAAUUUAUCUUAUUAUAAUAAAGACCACAUGCAAGUGAUUUUUUGCCAAAAAAAAAAAGUGAAAAAAAAAAAAAAAUAUUCCUCAAGGUAGAAGGUGACAUAGAUCUUUCUUUCAGUUUUCAUAUUCUCCCUUUUCCCAGGAGUUUCUUGUGCAUGCUCGUAGUUCACACGUUACAUCCCUGUGUGAAACAAUGAAUAUGAGAGAGAUCCCUAUAUAUAUCUCAUUGAGGGAAAUAGUAAUAUGGCAAAAAAGUAUGGGUUUCUUUUUAGUGGAAAAUGGCUUUACACCAGAUUGGCUUCAGUCAAGAUAAAGCUGUCCUGAGAGAGAGAGAGAGUGUGAUAAAGACAGAGAGAAGGGAAGUGUUGAAGAAGCAGCCAAAUGGAGAUUCACAAUUUGGAGAGAGAAACAGUGGAAGUUUUACAUGACAUAAGAAAUGAUCCUUUUAUUGGAACAAUGGCUUAAGUAAAUUCCAUGUAAAAAAAUAAAAUUAAGAAAAUAAUAUCCAUGAAAAAUGACAUUGCUAAAUAAGAAACACCAAUCUCAAGUAAACUUAUCUCAAGACACAUAUAUGGUAUUGGAUAUUCAUUGUAUCGGUUUUUAGAGGUUUCGACAUGUGUGUUGGUGUCACCCAAGUAUCAACAGCAUUCAGAACUCCAGACACAUUCAUAGGAGAGAGAUUAUGAUUUUUGAAGAGAGAGAGAGAGUAUUUUUACUUUGUGGGUGCACUCUUUAAAGGGUUCUUGGAGAAACUUUAGAGAGUAUUUUUACUUUGUGGGUACCCUCUUUAAAGAGUCCUUUGAGAAGCUUUACUCAUUUUAUUUUACUAUGCUAUGGAAAACUUUUCUAUUCUCUAUAUAUUAUGGGACUAACCUACCGACAAUGGGGCCCUGCUCAAACCGUGUCCAUUGUGGCCCUCCCAUCUUUUCUCAUUUUAAAGAGAAAAAUGUUUAUGAUUUGGGAAAGCUUUUGCCCCAAAGCAACUAGGCAGAAAGCCUGCAAAUGAACAGCACACACUGUUUUCUGUGGCAUCACCAUUUCUUAGUGCUACCUUAUGAUUUAGAGAAAAAUAAUGAAUGGAAUAAAUAUUAAAAUAAGAAAGGUUGAAAAAUUAUACCUAAUAUAUAGAAUAAAAAAUAAAAUUAAAAAGAUUUAGAGAUUGUACUCUGUCUAUGAGUUUGCAAAAGGGUCCACUUGAAGAUCUUUUAAGAAGAUCAAACUCUUUUUUAUUUUCCAGUGACCUUUCUGUACACCAAAAGACCUCUUCCCUGUAAAUAUAAACUUAAAAGGAAUAAUAAAUAAAAAUAACAAACUAAACUCUAUCUCUCUCUUUUAUCUCUUAAAAUACAUCUAACAUUAUCAUAACUAACCCAAUCAUGCUACUCCUUGUUCAUAUAUAUAUAUAUAUAUAUAUAUAUAUAUAUAUUAAAAAAAACAACACUUCCAAUUCUACUCCUUGAAUAUCUACAACUAAAAAAAGACAAAAAUAACACUAAAAAAAAUAAAAAUUCAAAUAACAUAUUUUUUAAGUCUUAAAAAAAUAUAAAAUAUAAAAUUACUUUUUUUAUUUGCAUCACCAGGUCUCUCUUAGAAGUCCUUCUCUCUCUAAUUACAUUGUUGGUAUUUUUGUUUUCUCCUUCUUGGUGUUGACUCUUGAAGAAAGAUUCUAUGUGAAAGAUGAGAAAUAUAAUUUCAUCAUUGUUGACCCAAAGUGAGAUAAAUAAAUAUAUUGAGGUCUAAAUUACGGAACAAAUGAACUUCUAAAUGAGGUAUUUCGAGUGAUAAAGAGUGAUCUUGAAUAUGGUAAUACGAACUUCCUAGUUAACCUUCAAAAAAACAAAUGGGGGAUGAUAAGAUAGACUUGUAAUGAAAAGAUCAUUAUGAAUAUUAUAGAGCAGAGUUUAGGUGUGUUAGAUGGCACAAGUUAAAGUGCGUCCACCUUCCUAAGAUCCAUCGUCGAGAAGGAUUUUGGAUCUAGAAAUUUGUAGGUGUAUUAUCUAGAUUACCAUAAUCAUGAAUUUAAUAAAAAACUGUAUUAUGUGGUAGAAAUCAUCUAUUUAAUAUUCUUUUUGGAUCAUUCAUUCUAAUUCUUCAAAGAUAAUAAGCAAUGCACUAUUUUUGGAGCUCCAAAUUCAUGGAUCUAAGGUUGAAAUAGAUUCACAGUGAUUUAAGAUACGCUUCGGGUCUUGAAUCUUCUGAAAACCAGGGUGACUGCAUGAGCAACCAGCGUACAAAAUCCGUUUCACUAUUGUAUCUCACAAUGACUGACUCUUCACGCAUGGACAGUUUCUAAUACAAAUUGAUACAAGUGAAUUUUCACACAAACCCAUUUUGAAUGUUCGCAGUGAAAAAAUACAUCAUAACCAAAGUUGCUUCUUUCUUCAGCAACAUCUCUAAGUCCUUCCUUCUUGUGUGCAGCUGUUGGUAACGAUGUUAUCGGAUUCGUUUCGGACUGCUCUUUGUUUUAGACAUAAAAAGAGAACACUUCAGUUCUUUGAAAGGUUCGGCGUAAGCAUUUAGGUGAACUUUUAGGCUAAAAAAAAAAGAGAAAAUGUAAAAGAUAUAUAACUACACUAUUGCAAACUUUUCCUAUAUAGAGGAGCAUAUGAUAAAAUUAUGAAUAUUAUGAGUUUUAUUUUAACAAACUUGUAUAUUUUAUGGCCAAAUUUUAUGUAUAUAGGGGCUACUUUAAAUUUUUACUGAUAUAUUCAUUUUAGUGAGACAAUAGUUCUCUUCAUUUUGGUUUUUGGGCCUAAAGCCAAACACCGUGACAGUUCAAAAGGAAGAGAAGCAAAUUUGAUAACAUUGGUCGGUAAACCCCUCUCUCUCUCUCAAUUGGAACUUUGAAAAAUGGAAAGUUGGGGCUAUGUUAUAUAUUGAUACUUUGUUUUGACCAGUAUCUCAAAACUCGGAUCCGUAGCACAUCCAUGUUGGAUCAGCGGAUCAUUAAUCCAAAUCGAUUUGGUUCAGUUUGAAUGGGUGAUCCAGCAAAUAAUAAAAAAUACUAAAAGUGGGGUUUCUAAAAUUAGUUCGGGCCUGACUGGCUCCCGAUUCAGAUCGGCGGUCCAGAUUGAAAAUUCCCAGGUUUUGAAACAUUGGUUUUGACUAAAGUCACUAAGAAAGGAGAUUUUUUUUUUUUAUUAUGGUGAAUAAGCCAUUGAAAGAGUUGCGAAUAUGGUAUGUAAAGUUAGAACCAGCUAGACAGCAAUCAGCAAUUUCGUCAAGACAUGGCCGAACUGAAUCAUUGGUGGAUCAGAUCAUUAAGACGCUACUGCGAACCGCUAACCAUCUAGCUCUAAAGUUUCUUUCAUGAACUCUCUCUCUCUCUCUUCUUUAGGGCUUGAAGCCACAAAGCACAAUUGGAGCUUUUCCAUUUCAUUAAUGGAGAGAAAAGGAGUGAGGGGAGCAAAGAAUUUUUCUUGAAGGGAGAGAAGAUUGGAAGGUCCCACCUGCAAUCCCAACACCCCCCACCGACGCCUCUCUCUCUCUCUCUCUCUUUUAUUUCUUCCGAGGUCCCACCCUCUUCUUUUCGCGCCAUCGUCGUCUUCCUCUCUCUCUCUCUCUCUCUCUUCAAAGCUCACAAAGAAGAAGGGAGGAGAGACUCCAUUUAUUUGCUCGGGUGUAGAGCAGGGUAGAGAGAGAGAGAGAGAGCUACUCUCCUUAUUCCGAGUAAGAGAGAGAAACCCACCUUCUCAGCCACAAGCUCAGAGAAGAGAGAGAGAAGAGGAAGAGAGAGUCACUAACAGAGCAGGAAGAGGAGAGAGACCACUCAGAGAUUAGCAGAGUAAGAGAGAGAAACCCACUCUUCUCAAUCAGUAGCAGGAGAGAGAAAGAGAGAGUUAGAGAGAGGUACUGAGUCAUUGUGUGUGAGAGAGACCUGCUCCCCUUCGACAGAGUAGGAGCUUCUCCUAUGGGUGCAUCUGAGCUAAACCAGUUUUGAUCCAUGGAGACCUUAGGCUCAUUUUUCGGCUCUCUGCGCCAUCUCUCUCUCAUCCUCUUUCAUUUCUGCUUCUGCUUAUUCAUCUCAAGCCACUGCUUUAAAUCCACCUCAAAUCCUCCGAUUCCAGAGAAAAGAAAGCACUCUUCCUCUGCAACAAACCCCAAGAAAUUGGUUACCUCUUCAUGGUCUUUUAUGAAGAAACUCUUCUCUUGCCAUAGUGCUUCAAGCUCCAGUAAUGGCUCCCUUUCGAGACCUCGAACCCCACCCGGAUCAUCAACCAGGCUCUCUCAAGCUUCCUCUCUCUCAUCGCACGCCACGGUUUCUCUUUCUACCCCAACUUCUCGUGACAACACUCUUUCUCUCUCCACCCCACCUCACAAGAAACCAUGUCAUGAUUCCUGCAACGAUCUCGAGCCCCAUCCCCUGCUUUCUCUCUCUAACAGGAUUGCACUAAUCCCCUGCUCAAUUUGUGGUGAAAUCUUCAACAAACCCCAACUUCUGGAGCUCCACCAAGCCGUCAAGCACGCUGUCUCGGAGCUGACGGACCGUGACACGGCGAAAAACAUAGUCAAGAUCAUAUUCCAAACCAGUUGGUUGAAGAGAGAGAAACUCCCCGAUAUACAGAGAAUUCUCAAGAUCAACAACAGCCUGAAGAUCCUCGCCAAGUUUGAAGAAUACAGAGAAACCAUCAAAGCGACAGCCUUGAAGUCCAGCGUGCACAAGCAGGCCCGAUGCGUAGCUGACGGCAACGAGGUUUUGAGGUUCCAUUGCUGCACCUUCACUUGCUCUCUUGGCUUGAAUGAGGCUUGUUCUCUCUGUAAUCACCAUUAUUGCAGUCUCUGUGGGAUUAUAAGACAUGGGUUUUCCUCUAAACUUGAUGGGAUUUCCUGUUAUUCCAGUAGUUAUAAGGCUCAUGGGUCUAUACCUGCAGAUCUAGAGAGAGAAUUCUCUUUCAUGAAUGUGAAGAGGGCCAUGUUGGUUUGUAGGGUGAUAGCUGGGCGCAUUGCUUAUGAUGAAGGGAUGAGUGAGAAAGAGGGGUUUGAUUCAGUUGCAGGAGGUUGUGGUGAUAGUAGUGGAUUGGAGGAGUUGUUGGUGUUCAACCCAAGAGCUUUGCUUCCUUGCUUUGUGAUCAUAUACAGUAUGUAAAGAUUGUGAUUUCUUGUGUGGUUUUUGGAUAUGCGAUCAAAUUGUUAUGGGAAUGAAAAUUUGAAAAAUUUCCCUGUUUUAAGAGAGAGAGCUAUUCUUGUGUGACAUUAAGUGAUUUAAAAAACAGAUCGGUGAUCCGGAUAAGUCACCUAAAAAAUUGGCAGUUUGGAUCACUAUUUACUGUACAAAAAAAACAAUAGAUGAAUGGGCAAAAAAGUUGUCCCGAUUACUGUUAUAUCGUAGAGAAUUAUUGUUUUACUAUGCAUAAUUGUCGAUUUUCUUUAAGAUUUAAUCGUUUUCCUAUAUAUAUAUAUAUAGAACCAGAACGAGUAAUUGAUUCUCAGGUCGGAUCAAGCGAUUUUACAUCCAUUGUUUUUUAAAGAGAGUGAGCUUUUCUAUUAUGGCUUUCAUCAUAGUUUUUUUUUUAUAUAUAUAAAUCAUCAAUAAGACCCCCUUUUCGUUUUAAAAACAAUUAGUAAUUGUCUAAUGUAUAAAUAUAAAUAAGAAUGAAAACCUAAACCGGUAAAUGAAGUUCAGCUACCACUAAGACCUCAACUCAUUCUCAACUGAGGCUUCCAUUGUCGUCAGAGAGAGCUGUGCUUGUGUGAUUCCGGUGUUCUGGAGAGAGAAAGAAGAGUUAUUCUUUUGUGACUCCCAUUGUUGCUAGAAUUUUGCGGUUAUGCUGCAAAUUUAGAUCAAAAUUACCCAUUUAGGAAAAUGGUUUGGUAGCGCUGCAGCCUUAUCAAAACAAAUAACCAUUCACCUCCAAAGUCACCAGAAAUUGCAAUUUUGGUGUUGGAAAACCUUGAUCAUCUCGGCUUUCACCAUUAUGAUCGUGAAAUAGGAAAAAGAAAAAAAAAAAUUUAAGCCUUAAGAAUAGUACAUAUAUGGUAACAAAUUAUCUAAGACCGUUUAUUUCACCUUAAGAAUAAGUAGUCAUGGAUCCACAAGAUUUGUACUAUUUUUUAGCUUCAAACUUUAUAAUUGGUAUUGAAAAUUGAUUUUAGAGCUAUUAUAAAGAUUUUCGAUGCUUUCUCGAUGAGGAUUGAGGUGCGGUUUACUAUGUUUUCAUAAAGCAAGUCUAAUAGAAACUCCAUCCUUUUUUUUCCCCAUACGUCAAUGCCCCAUCGGAAGGAUCGAAAUUGGAUAUUAUUUUAUUUAUUAUGCAAUAAAUUAACUAUUUAUUUGUCAUGACUAAAAUGCAUUUACGUUGUACCACUUUUGUUCUCAAUUUUCUUUUCCAAAACAACCUAGUGAAGUAGUACGCAGUCUUUUUUUUUUUUUUCUAAAACUCGAUCUGACACUUGAAGUAUCAAACAAAUUUUAUAUUAUUGUGGGUUCAAUACUUCUAGUAUAUGACCGAUCUCCAUUGAACGGUUUGCUCCAAACCAGUCCAGUGCUUUAAGUGCAUGAUCGCAUUUUCAUCAUCAUUCGUGUACCUAAUAAGCUACUAACAAAAAAAUUUAAAAAAAAAUAAACAGGCCCAUAUAUCUAGUUCCGGCCCACAUUUUCCAGUACCACACUUGACUUCUGCAAAAAAAAAAAAGCUAACUGUAGAGGAUUCUGUUUGGUACUUUUUAAGUGUUGGGCAGAGUUUUAGAAUACAAAACGGUUUCCUAAAUGAAGUAUCGGAUUAGGGUUAUUUUGGCCAAAAACAAAAAAUAAACAUUGGGAUUACUUUUUAAUUAUGAAAGAAAACAAGGAUUUAUGUUUUAAUUUUCCCAUGGCAAAUACCAAUAACAUUGUCAAACCAUGUUAAAAAAUCAAUGAACAUGUUAACUCAAUUAAAUCAACAAUAAAAUGGUUUCUUAAUUAAAUCAUUUCAUUUGGAUGCAUCCAUAAUUACAUUGUUAGAAAAUACCUAAAUUGCCCUUGUUUCAAGUUUAGGAUGACAUGCGACGACAUUUUGGUAACUUGCCAACAUAAGUUUCUUGAACCAAAUGAUCUUAGAGCUUAUUUCAAGCUAAAACAUAAUUUUCAUUAAAAAAAUCUAGUUGGAGCUUUAAAACUUAGAAUAGAGGUAUUUAUAUCAUUUGGUUUGGGUAACUUAAGUACACUUAAAUUACUAAAUGGCCCCUCUUGUUUUGGUUUUCAAGCCCGGAACAAGAUUUUUAGUGAAAAAUCAUGAUUUCAAAUUGGAACAAAGAACAAGCACGGUUACUUAGGUUAUUUGAACCAGACAACUUAAAUAUGUCAAAUUAUCAAAUGGCAGCAUAUAAAAAAUAGUUACAAACCCUGAACAAAAGCAAUUUGAGCAUUUUUAGCAAAAUUCUCAAGGAGGUAUAUAAAUAUAAGGAGUUUAAAAAGGUUAGCAUAAGGCUUUCGCAUUAUGAAAAAAAGUAAAUCCACAGCUCAAAUCUUAUAAAAAGUUCUAGUUCCAAUAUCAAAAAACCUUUAAAUUAAUCAUCUCGAUCUCAACAAUUGUAGUUUUAAAAAAAAACAAGGCUUCAAAGCCGUGUAAUGUAUCUUAUAACAUAAUGUUUUGACUCAUUUUUUAGUAUUCACAUAUCUGCCAAAUCUAUUCUAUUUUUAGUUCAAAUUUCAUUAUAAAAUAUGAAACUAAUUUUCAUAUCGUCGUAAGGUUUAGUUUCUAAUACCAAUUUUCAACUAGGGUUUUAAAAUAAGGUUCAUGUGACCUAAGAUUUAAGUAACUACAUGUUGGCAAUAUUUUUUAUUAAACUGCAUAUAUUUUUUAAUAGUUUAUGCUUAUUUCAUACAAUCCCUUGUAGAAAAAUUUAUCUACAAGUUCUGCUCAUUCCAUGAGUCAAUAGAAAGUCAAAAAGAGAGGCAAGUUAACCAAAUCCCAGACAAAGAAACAUGAGAUAGUGAUUACUCCUCAUGUUUUGGUGGGAGUUAAAGUGCCUUUCUAUUAAACAAAGUACAAUUAUUAGGGUUCUGCAUAAUAUGAUAGACUAAACGGAUAAACAUCAUGACUCAUGUGACCUAAACCUUUUCAUUUUGGAGGACAAUGGAGGUUACAAUUGUUCCUCCCCGUACCCUUCCAUGCUUCUAGGGAGCAUGAUUGAACAUGAGUUAUUCUUUUUAAGGGUGAAGUUUGUAUAAGGUGUACACUUUAUAGUUUAUACUAUAUAAGUAAAGGGUACCUUGAAAUUUUGUUGGAAGAUAUAGUUUUAGUAUUUUUAGAAACCUUUAAAUUUCAAGUUUUAAAGAGAAAAAAUAUCUUAUAAUUUUUAUGGAGAAAUUGUUUAAAAAAAAUUUAAAGAGAGAAACUAUAUCAAAUUUUAAAAGUCUUAGAGAGAAAACUAUCCCGAAUUUCAAAAUUUUAUAGAGCGAUAAAUCUUUAAAGAAAGAAAUUAUCUCAAAAUUUUUAGAGAGAAAGUAUAUCAAAUUUAAAGUUUUAGAGGGAAGCUCCCUCAAAAAAUUUAGAGAGAGAAAUUAUGUCAAAUUUUUUGACAGAAAAACUAUCUCAAAAUUUUGACGUAGAUUUGAUAUCUGAAUGGUUGAAAGAUGAAAAGUCUCUUUGUAGACAUCCCAUAAAAAAAUAAAGCAGCCUUAUAUCUUAAUCCUCAAACCAAGAGAAAAACUAGAAUAAAUAAAUAAAUUAAAAAACACGAAAAGGAACGACCUCACCUAAAAUUCCUGAAAAAAUGGAGCAAAGGGUAAGUCCAUAAGUUUUACUUGGUUUUAACAUAAAAUUUCUAACACCAAAUAGGGCAAGCUUUUUAUGCUUCUCCUACAACAUAAAACUGAUAUAUACUUUCCCUUAUCCAACUAUCCAUUCUAAAUGGAGGGCUAAGCUUGUUCCAAUCACAAUGUCACGUCUCUACACUAUUUUAUUUUUAUUUUUGUUUCUAUAAACUAUUUUGACACCAAAUUUUGUAAGUUGAAUUCUCUAUUAAACUUGUACUAUCAAAAAAUAUAAAAGACAUAUUUCUAAUAAAAUAAAAUGACCAAAAUACCCUUGAAAGUUUCAAGGGGUAUUUUGGUCAUUAUAUUUUAUCAAAAAAUUAUUUUUAAUAUUUUUAUAGGUGUACCCAAUGAAAAGAUGACACAUACCAAAUUUUAUAUUCAUACAAUUUGUAUAUAAAAAAAAAACUAAAAAUAAAAUACUUUGAGACGUUGAAUCUAAGAUCAAACGGUGAGUGGCUCUCUUAAUCAAGAUUGGACUGCUGGAUGGUAGGGGAAGCAUAGAUCUUCUAUGCUGUAGGGGAAGUAUAGAAACCUUUCCCCAUAAAAUAAUAGAACUCUUGAGUUGAGAUAAAAUUCCCUUCUAUUUAAGUUUUACAUUUGUAAAAGAGUAAUGAUACUAUGAGACCCUCCCACACUUAUGUGAGUAGGACCUUAAAGGAUCACCAUUAAAUUUUGACACAGAUCUUUAGAAAAGUUAUCAAUAAACCUAUUCACCCAAGUCCCACACCCAUGUGAUAACUUUUCUAGAGAUCUGUGUCAUAAUUUAAUGGUAAUCAUUUGGGAUCCUACUUAUAUAGGUAUCGGAGGGUCUCAUAGUGUUAUUACUCAUUGUAAAAAAAAAAAAAAGCUACUUUUAUAAUCAUACCGGUAAUUGACCAUGGUUGUUAUACCAGCUGUACGACAUUUGAAUUCCCUCCUUUUUCUUGGUACAGAAGGCUGUUUUCACUGGCAAAUGCUCAAUAAGGGUACAACCCUAGGUUGUUUUCAUGAAAAAUAACGUUAUCUUGACUUGGUAUCUCCUAUAUUCGUGUUUAGUUGAGUCCUUGAAGACCAUGUGGAAAGAACUUUCCGAAGGAAAAAAAAAUUACAUGAUUAAUUUUUUUAAUUAGUUCUUCACUAUUAAAAUGGAGAAGGAUUAAGAUAUCCCAUCGUUGAUAGUCCAUAGAUUUUUGGUUAUAUUUGUAUGGGUGUUAUUGGCACUUUAUGUAUAACACUUACACCAAUUUUGCAAGGUAAUUAUAAGUUUUGACAAAGUUUUAUGUUUGGCCGCUUUCAGGUAUUUUACUCGAGCAUGAGACAAGGUAAAGAAAAGUUUAUGCUUCUCAUCCUUCUUGGACCAAAGGUUAAGAGAGAGAGAUCCUCAGACAAUAUGCAGUGACCCAUGUGUGAUUUGGUAAAGAAGUUGACCCACUUGCCAACUUUAGUCUUACCAAACAAGAAGGGAAGAUGAAGGGAAGAUUAGUCUUACCAAAGAAGAGGGGAAGACAAAUAAAAGUAUGUCAAGAUUCCAAGAAACACAAGAUUGACUAGAUUGCCUCUUUUGGCCCUUAAAGGGGUCCUAGAUAAUAAAAGCCACAUUUUUUGGGAUUUCAUACAAUACAUUUGUAGGGUUUUCGAGAACCUUUAGCUUGCGGAAUCGAGAAUCUCAAAUACAGAGAUCUCAUUCAAGAUCGUGUAUAUGAUUGACUAAAUACAAAGUAGAUGAAUACAACUAUAAAUCGAGUGCGAGAGAUAAAACAAACAUAAAAAUCACACCACAACAUACAAUUUACAUGUUGGGCUACAUCUACGGCCUUAGCGAUUAAAAAUCCACUAUCAUAAUGAAGAUUGCAGUUUUGGGUUACAAGAAAUAUACCUAUUUCAAAACAUCAUUAAAAAACAAUCAUCAAUCUUUCCUUCUAAACCCGUUAUCCCGACCGAACAACACCGUCGAUCAAUACAUUUUUUGGCACUGCAAUACCGCUAUCGAAAAUAUAACCUCGAGAGCAACAGAGAGCUUUUCUCUCUCUAAAAGUGGAAGCCUUAGCCAACCUAAAACUCAUGAGAAUACCACCUCUUUCUCGGAGGACUUAUCUUUCUCUUGGAGACCAAUGUCCAUAUUUGGAGAUCCAUUCCCAUAACCCCUAAAGGGGUGGCCCUUAAAGGAUGGGUUUUAUCACUUUAUGUAUUUAUUCACUCUCUUAUAAAGAUAUCAUUUUCUUGCUUAUCAAGAAAGUCCAUUUUUUAUUUUCCAUAAUACCCUUAAUCUUUAUAAGAAAAUAUGGGUAUAGUAAUUUGCGUAUCACCAAACCCAACAAUCUCUACCUUGAUAGCAAAAUUAUCAUAAUUGUUUACAAUAUUUAUUGAAUAGAUUUUUUUAUUUCUUCCCACUUGUCUCUAUUGUGAAAUUUUCACAAACACUUUGCCUCUAUAUUUCUUCACCUCAAACCAUAUAUCUAUCAAAUUCCACCAUUCAUCGUUUUCUUAAUGCAAGCCUUAGCCCCAUACAUAUCUUAUGCUCUGACCAAUUGUAGGGUUCUCGGGAACCCUUAGCUUGCGGAACUAGGAACCCCAAAUAACGAGAUCCUGCCCAAGAUCGUGUACAUGAUUAACUAAAUGCAAAGUAGAUGAAUACAACUAUAAAUUGAGUGCAAGAAAUAAAACAAACAAAAAAAUCACACCAUUUAUAUGGUUCAGCCUAUAGGGCUACAUCCACGGCUUCGGCAAUUAGAAAUCUACUAUCAUAAUGAAGAUUACAGUGUUGAGUUACAAGAGAUAUACCUAUCUCAAAACAUCAGUAAACAACUAUCACCGAUUUUCCUUUCUAAACCUGUUCUCCUGAUCGAGCAACACCGUCGAUCAAUAUCUUCUUUCCUACUGCAAUACCAUUACCGAAAAGAUAACCUCGAGAGCAACCAAGAGACUUUCUCUCUCUAGAAGUGAAAGCCUUAACCAACCCAAAACUCAUGGAAAUACUACAUCUUUCUCGGAGUCCAUGUCUCUUUCUCUUGAAAACCAAUUUCCAUCUUUGGAGAUCCAUUCCCAUAACCCCCAAAAGAGUGAUCCUCAAAAGAUGGAUAUUAUGUCUACCUUCACUCUCUUAUAAAGAUAUCACUUCUUUGCUUCCCAAAAAAAUCUAUUUUAUAUUUCCCAUAAUACAUUUAGUCUUUAUAAAAAAAUAUGGGUAUAGUGAUUUGGCUAUCACCAAACCCAACAACAUUGACUAAAUUUGAUAUAAAUACAUGAAAAGGAUUAUACAAGGUGCCAAUUUUAUACUUAUUUAUGUAAGGUGCACUAUUUACCCAAAAAAAAUAUUUACCCAUAAAAAGUGAAGUGCACUUCAAAAAAUAAAGUUAAAAAAAGAGGGUACAUUUCAAAAAUUCUCUAGAAAGCGUUAUGAUGUUAAAAAACCUUGAGAUAUAUGGAGACGAAAAAAACAGAAGAAUUUCAUGUCGUAAAAAUAACACAUCUUGUAAUAAGUUAUCUAGCUCAUCUAUUUGCAAGAUUUUCAAAUAUUUAUAGAUUUACUCGAUCUGUACCAAUUUUACAAUUUUAAGCUUCAUAACUAGCGAUUAAAAUAAAUUUUCAAGCCAUCAAAAUGUUUCCAAUGCGAGAACUGUAUCUCCAUGCAAAAUUUAAAGGUGCGCCUUCCAUUGCAUAAGGAGAACACCGUAUAUAAACCUCAGCCAUGUUCAUGCAAUACUCACUUGGUGAUUCUAAAGUGAAUCUUAAAAUUUUAGAAAAGAAAUCGUUCCCAAUAACUCUUUUACCUCAGAGAGUAGUCAUACAGUGUGCUCCCACAAGGAUGUUAUAAGAAGAAUUUGUAAUGGUGUUAAAGAGUAUCAGCAGCAUCAUCAAUGCGUUAAAGGUGAGGUAGCCAAAAAUAUUGUUUUGGAGUGAGGGUGUAAAUGCGCCAGGUCAGCUUGUCUGGUCUUAAGGGCCUGGCCUGAUAGGGACCCUGCUCGGUCUCCUUCAUAGGACCCGUUAGGCGGGCUGAGCUUGGACAUCGGCGUAUGUUGGGCUGAGAAUUUACCUGGUUUGGAUUCGACCCAAAUUUUAGAUCCUAUCGGAAUCCAAGAAUCAAUUGAAGGUUUGAAGUCGGAUCUGGAUCUAAAUUUUGGUUCUGCAUAGUAAUUCGGAUUGGGUCAAGGUACAGGUGGAUUCGAUCCGGAUCUGACCCAAUUGUAAAAUAUAUUAUAUACAUAUAUGUUAUAUAGCAUUUUUUGUUAUAUAUUAUUUAAUAGAUAUAAAAUAAAUUUUUUGGAUCCAAUCAAAUCCAUAUCAGGAUUUGGAGCCCAUGUAUACUAUUCAGAUUCACAUCUAGAUUCAGAUCCCAAUAUUCUGGAUCUAAUUAGAUUUGAAUCUACAUCUAGAUCCCAUGUAAACUUUUUGAAUAUGAAUCUGGAUCCUGGUCGUUCUGGACCCGAUCUAAUCCAUUUUCAACCCUAGGCGUCCGUUAGCUUAACAGGCCAGGCCCUACUUUAUAUGAUUUUUCUAUUAAUAGGUUGAAAAUAAGCCUAUAGGGUCUCGAAGGUCAAUCGGUUUUAGUCCCUCGAUAGCCCAUUAGGCUAGGUAGGACCCUAUUUUGGGCCUGUUAACUUAACAAGCCGAGCCUCGAUCUACUUAGGCUGGCUGUUCCCGGGCCGCUUGGACCCCUCAGAAUGAGGUCUUUAGGAAUGGAGAGAAUGCACAUAAGGCUCUGAGAGCUCAAGGGACAAUCAUGAAGAAGGGGAGAGCAUAUCAGCUUGUUUUAUCCCUAAACCUCCAUGAAAGAAGCCAGGCAUGGGAAUGGGGUUGGCAUCGGUGGUUACGGGGAUGGAUGCCUGAACGCAACGUCCCACCCUCCAUACUCACUGUUAACAUGAAUUAGGAGAAAUAAAAAAUAAAAAAAGAAAGAAAGAGAAAAGUGAGCCAUGAUCCAUCGAAGAUGUGGUGGAGAUUAAGGGCUCAAUCCAUUUGGUGACCUUCUCAAUAAAACUAAAUGUGCAGCCCCUUAUAGAAAGAAAUGUAUACAGUGAGAUUACUUACUUUUGAUACAAGGAGGUUAUAAUUAUGAUUAACUGUUAAAAUGUCAUUGUUUAGAUACAAAAUCCGGAACAAAAUUUUUCGAAUGCUGUGACACACUUUCAUCUAUAGGAUUUACAUCCAAUGAUUAAAAGAGAUUGUGAGCUCUUGCACCAAAAAUAAAUAGUCUCAUAACAUACGAUCCUCUUAUAGAAAGGCAGGAAAAUUGGUCAAAAAUAUCUUUUAAGGACAAGCUAGAGGUGAAUUCCUCAGCCUAUGUACACAUAAGAAUUACACCAUUAUGGUAUGAGGCUUGAGCAAGAUCAACUUAUUUUGUUAGAGGAAACUGCUGAUUACUGUAUGUUUAGAAUCCAACAAAUGAUUCAACAAAUAACAUUGCACAAGCUUCAUGAUAAAAUGGAAAAUAUUUCUUCAGAUGAUUCAUUUUCUCCAUAUACUUUUCCUGAUUAAAACACAUAGAGAUUUGCAUUCAAACAAAUGAAAUCAAUAAUUCAUAUAUAAGUAUUUGAUCAGCCUAUUUAACCCAUUAAUGCCCCUCUCCUUGCCCCCAAGAAAAUCAAAAGAAAAAAGAAGAUAGGAAGGGUAUCCAAGACCCCAAAAAUCUAUGAAAACCAUUGUAUAUAUCAUAUCAUUUAUAUAUAGCAGUUCAUCAUGUAUCUUAACAAACAAACACUUAUAUUUAAAGCACCAGAAUAAAUCAACUAUAAACACCACCAUCACCGCUGCCACCUCCACGGCCACCUCAGAAGCCUAAUUUUGAGCUCCUCUAACGCCAUUACAUGCCGCCUUCUCCUUCUCCUCCCCAUUUGCCUGCUUAUUAGUAUCAGGCACGCACCCAUCCGUGCCGGCAAGCAUUUGAUACUUGUCCCUCCUUGUAAACGUAGUGCACUCAAACCCUAGUGUCCCUGCAAGCACCCUUUGUAUAUAGUUGGCGACCUCGAUGGCUGACCUCCCUCCCUUAACUGUGAGCUCAGGAGGCAACUGGUUCAAGAAUGUAAUCUCAUAAGUAGGCAUAGGAUUCAUGAAGAAGAAGUAAGGAUCCAUAACCUUAUAGCCCCUCACAGUUGUUCCAUGGAAGAUACUUUGCUUAGUGGUAACAGCCACAGGGACAAUCCGGUCCGCAAGCUCGGCAAAAAGUGCACUAAACCGAAGCAAGAAAGGCUCACGACAUGUAGUCCCCUCGGGGCAAAUGACAAGAUCACCCUCCUCAAGCAGGCGCUUGAUGUGGGCAGCAUCUCGGUCGCGCUCUCGAGAGAGUGCCACAGCCUUGAUUGGAGAGAUCAAUUCUGAGAAUUUUGAGAUCGAAUAUGUCACACAGCUAACUUUGCGGCCUAAGGCAACCGCGAUGACCACCGGAUCAAGAACUGUGCGGUGAUCGCACACCAGGAGUGCCCCGGGGGAGGCAGGGGAAGGGGGCAGAGGAGGGUGGCCCUUGACAAUUAGGUUAAUUCCAAGGAUCUUGUAAUUGUAUCGGACAAUACGCUCUGGAAGCGGGAUGUUCAGAUAGACUCUCAGAAGAGAUAGGGGGAAAGCGAUCGGGAGCCAAAGGAAUGUGAGGAGGGCGAGGAGCGGGGUGGGACGCUGAACGAGGCGGCCGUCAUGGAAGACAAUGGGGCUGAGCAGCUUGUUGCUGGGGACAGGGUCGAUCUUGGUGUGGGGGACAAUGUAGGCCUCCUGUGUUUGCCAUAGCAAAUUAGAGAACGUUAGGGUGGUGUCUGGAUUAUAUGAGAAGAUGUAGGCAUGGAAAUUGUAGUGCACGAUGUCGAGGAGGGGGUUAGGAUGGUGCUGACAACAAUGUUUCAGAAGUCGAACUUGGGCUCAAAGUCACCAAGCCUCAUUCCCGCCCGGUCUGACUCAGAUGGUUCCCAAGCUGGAUUGGGUUUUUAUUUAAUUAGGGGUGAGAAUUUUUCUGCUUUGGAUUCGAAACCCGAAUUUCAGACCCUAUCCAGAUGGGAGAUGGGAUUCGACAGGUUGGAUCCGGAUCCGAAUAGUAAUUUGAUUAAAAUACAGGUACAGGUGGAUCCAAUCUGGAUCUGACCAUAUUAAAAUAUAUAUAUAUAUUUGUUAUACAUUUUUUAUAGAUAUAAAAUAAUUUUUUUGGAUAUGAUAGGUUCUGGAUCCAGAUCCAAGUCCCAUGUAUACUUCUUUGAUCCAGAUCCAGAUCCAGAUUCAAAUAUUUUGGAUCCAAUUGGGUCCAGAUCUAAAUUGCAUGUAUACUUUUCAGAUCCAAAUCCGGAUCCCGGUGGAUCCAAUAGUGAAGAGCCCCAUUUUCUUUGUUUUGAGCUAUUAAUAAAUAGUUUUGAGACAAAUAUAUGGAUUAGUUGAAACAUAACAUUUCCAACCAGUGGCCAUUUAUCUCAUUUUAGAUCAUACAUGUUACAUACGUGCAAGAGUGCUUGGGUAGAGAGAGAGAGUAAACACUCAUUUGGUAAUUUUAAAUUGGAUCUCAAAAUUUUUUUUAUUGAAAAUACUUCUUUGGUGAUUUUAAAAUAGAUACCAAAAUUUUAGAUCGAGAAAACACUUCAUACCAAGAAAUUUUCCAGUGGGCGUGUAUACACUAUGCUCUCGAGGGAGCAUGCUACAUAGUCUUUUACCUUGUAAAUAUAAAAAACUUUUUGACAUUUUCAUAAAAUGAGCAAGCCGAUACGGGUAGGUGUGUGUUUUUUUUUUUGGGUAAAUAGGUUUGUGUGGCUUAGAUAAGGCCUAGGUAAAACUUGCUGACUUACACUUUCAUACAGAGAAAAUUUCGAGAUAUAUAUAAUAUAUAUAGAGAGGGAGAGAGAGAGGAGGGGGGUACUUGAAUAUAAAAUAAGAACCCAAAAGAUUUUAUACUCCUAUGGGAGUAUAAUGUCUAUUUGCUCCAUGGGUAAAUUCCAAUAUAGGAGUAAUUUUAGAGCCCUAAAUUUUGGACAUGUAACCAAUCCAAGGCAUAAACUAACUAUAAGAAAAAAAUCCGAAUUGAAAUCUCUUUCUACUGAAGAACUAUCUCUUGAUUGCAUAGAGACCGUCCAAUGUUUUAAGGGUGCGAUCCAAGUGUCAAAAUACUAAAAAAAUACAAAUUUUUUCUUUUGAAAAUAAUCAUCCAGUAAUUCUUAAGUACUUUCCAAAAUCUCAGACUAAUAAAAUAAAUAAAUAAAUUUUUUUUUCAAGUAGGUCUUUUGCUUCAGAGAGUAGAUGUAUAGUAUGCUCCUACGGGAGCAUAGUAUAUGUGCUCAAAUAAAAAAGGAUAACAGAGAAUACAAAGCCUUCAAAAAAUUAGAGUAGGAAAAUUUUACGAAAAUACCCAUAAGAGAUUAACUAUUUAAUACUUUACCCAGGACUAUACCAACUCAGGAGCAUGUGCUUUUUUAUGGGUAUUUUGGAUUUGAAAAUAAUUCAGAGCAUGUGCUUUUUUAUGGGUAUUUUGGAUUUGAAAAUAAUUCAAUGGACGGUUGAAGAUUUGAGAGCACACCUAUGUCUCUCAAAUCUCCACUGUUCUCUAAUUUAUAAGAAAAAAAAGAAAAUGUAUGUUCCCAAUACAUAUAUGGAAAAAUUCAAGGUGGGACCCGCUUCUCCUCACCAAUAUAAUUUAUUAACUAUUAAUUAAUAUUUUAUUGACCAGGUAAAAUUUAUUUUCUUUUGUGAAUUAAUUUAGAAAAAUGUCACAUAAAAUGAAAAGAUGAGAUAUAUAAUAAGUUCGUUUACUUUUGUCAUAAUUAUUAUUAACCACUAGAUAUAAAAUUGAGCAGCUUGAAAUGUGUCAUUGACUAAGCAUGAAAUAUGAAUAUAUUUUUUUUGAAAUUUCAAUGCAUCCCAAACUGUUGGAUUUAACAACUAAUGACUAAAAGUAAUUGUGGCCUCCUUGUACUAAUUGUGAAUAAUCUUGUAGCAUAUAAUCCCCUAAAAAUGACUUUUUAAUGUUCUAUUUUCGUAUAUGUUUGAGGAUAUUAUACAUCGGGAAUGUAAACGUCCCCCCAACUUUUUUUGGGGGAGAUUUGCCCCACUUUUUCUCUAUUGAUCUUCCAAUUUAUUUCAUAAAAUUUUCUUCAAGUCAUUAGUGCCAUUCAUGGUUUAAUUUAACCACUUAAACUAUUCAAGUCAGUGACCUGGAUACACUUACUUCCAAGAAAAAAUAUUCCCAACCAAAAAAUUAUUUCAAACUUAGAGUCCUAAACAAGAAAAGGUUUUUAGUUCAUUUUGUUCUUCUCAUCAACUAAAGUGAACCAAAUUAUCGAAUAUCCUCACUUGUUCAACCAAAACAGGAUAAUUGGGGCUUUUUAGUAAAAAAUAUUGAGGUAUCACUAUGAAAGGAUUUUUAUUAAUUUAACCAUCUCAUUGAUUUAUUCAAUUUCUCAAAACCCAGAUUGGUGGGGUGGAUCAUUCACCACAUAGGUUUAUGUUGAAUCACUAGAGUAGCAAACCGGAUCGGUGAUCCAGAAUAUAUUUAAGAUAAAUAGAAUACGAUAAAAAAAUAAAGUAGGAGUUAAUGGGAUGGGGAUUUAGGGAACCUGAAAAAACACUAGAGAAGCUUAAAAAAGUAAAAAAUAAAAUAAAAAUUAAAUGAGAAAGUUCUAUAAGGCCUAGGCUUUAUGAAAAUAAAAUAAAGCUCCACCUCAAAUCCUUGUCUAGAAAGCACUUUCGGCAACAAAAAUAUCCAUGAUGGAUCCAAAAUCAAUUUUAAAUAGUAACAAUAAAACUUCAAACUCAAAUAAGGGUACAGAUCUUGUGGAUCUAUGAGCACUUAUUUUUAAGGCAAAAUGGAACAGUCUAGAUAAUUUAUUACAAUAUAUACUAAUUUUAAAGCUUAAAAUCCUAAUCUCUUUUCAUGACCAUAAUGUUCAUUCUGAGACGAUUAGUGUAAAUGUUUUUUAACAUUUGAAUUGUAAUUUUGGAUGAGUUAUGAAGUGAGGUUUUACCAUUUUAACAAGGCUGCAGCUCUAUCAAACUAUUUUUCAAAAUUAAAAGGGGAAAUUUUAAGGAGGAACCAGGUCGGGAUCUAUAUUGCUCCCAACCGAUCCUCAUUUAAAUCGACGAACAAUAAAAAAUUAUUUGUUUGGCUAUUUUUAGUGAUAUUAUCCAAUGUAGAAGGAAUUUUCAACAGAUGAAUAAAAAAGACAAAAAGAAAAAUCACACAAGAGGAGGAAACAAACAAAGAAACAUUGACGAGAGUCACGUAAAAGGGACAGAGAGGGACGAGAAGCAUGAGUUUGACAUCAAAUUUUCUGGUCCACUUAAUAUUUAAUUCAAAAUUUUGUGAUUUGAAGGAGCAAAUCCCACACAAUACUUGCUUCCACGUGGCACAAUCAGAGUUGGGGAAAGGAAACAAUGGAAUUUCAUGCAAGUUGAAGACCCUUCCAUGGAAACUAGGACGUGUGUUUGGGCAACCGCUGGUCGUGGAAAAUAAAUUUGAAAGUAGAGAGAGAGAGAGAGACUAGAAAGAGAAAGUAGAGAGAGAAUUCUCUUCAACUCUAUGAUUUAAUGUUAACUCUUGCUAACACAAUUUGCAUUCUCUUUCUCAAUCUUCUCUUUCUCUCUCUAGGGUUUCAGUGGACUCUACGCAUUAAGAGAGAGAGAGAGAUUCAUUGCUAUUCAAUUUUAUGUACUGAAACAUGUGCUAACACAAAAUGCAUCCCCCUCCUCUCUCUCUCUCUCUCUCUCUUAAUUGAACAAGACUUACUGGUCCACUACUCAGGUGUAACUGCGUUUCCCAGUAAAGAGAGAGAGAGAGAGAGAAGAAAAAGGUGCAGUUUUGUAGAGAGAGAGGGGGAUCCUCUUUCUCCGAUUAAAAAAUUUGAGGAAGGAUGGUGAUCUCGAUAGUUAAUGUAGAGUUUUUCACCGAGUUCUAUGGAAAACAAGAGAGAGAGAGAGAGUUGUUGAAAGAUAAGGCCAAAGAAGACAAAGAGUUGUUGAAAGACAACUUGUUCAUAAAUGGAACAACAGUGGCUGGGUUCAUAAAAACCAUGCACAUAGGAAAAGCGAUAAAAACUUUAUAUUGAUAAAAAAAUCAUUUUCUCAAAAAAUAAAAACAAAAAAUAUGAAAUUCUCCAGAGAAAAAUGAAUUGCGCAUUGAAAUUUUCAAUAAAUAUAUUGUUAACCACCAAAGAAAAUAUUAUUUUCUUGAAAAAACCAGAAUAAAUAUCUAGAAAGCAGGCAGCCCACUUUCCUUCUGCAAAUUUUUGAGGUGCAAUUAAACUUGGUUAAAAGAAUGUAGUCAGUGCAAGUGCAAAAAUACCCUACUGAACAUUUCAUCUGGAACAGAGAGAGUAAAUGAAAGAACAUCUCAUAGAGAGAGAGAGAGAGCAUAUCAUUGGGUUGAAAGAACUUGUCAUAGAGAGAGAGAACAUAUCAUAGGGUUCCACACAAGCGUAGAGGGGGAGAAUGAGAGAGGAUUUUAUAGAAUAAUAAAAAGCAGGAUGCUUGCAUCCAGUAGCAUAGAGAGAGAGAGAGAGGAGAGAGAGAGAGGAGAGAGAGGGAGAGAGAGGAGAGAGAGGAGAGNNNNNNNNNNNNNNNNNNNNNNNNNNNNNNNNNNNNNNNNNNNNNNNNNNNNNNNNNNNNNNNNNNNNNNNNNNNNNNNNNNNNNNNNNNNNNNNNNNNNNNNNNNNNNNNNNNNNNNNNNNNNNNNNNNNNNNNNNNNNNNNNNNNNNNNNNNNNNNNNNNNNNNNNNNNNNNNNNNNNNNNNNNNNNNNNNNNNNNNNNNNNNNNNNNNNNNNNNNNNNNNNNNNNNNNNNNNNNNNNNNNNNNNNNNNNNNNNNNNNNNNNNNNNNNNNNNNNNNNNNNNNNNNNNNNNNNNNNNNNNNNNNNNNNNNNNNNNNNNNNNNNNNNNNNNNNNNNNNNNNNNNNNNNNNNNNNNNNNNNNNNNNNNNNNNNNNNNNNNNNNNNNNNNNNNNNNNNNNNNNNNNNNNNNNNNNNNNNNNNNNNNNNNNNNNNNNNNNNNNNNNNNNNNNNNNNNNNNNNNNNNNNNNNNNNNNNNNNNNNNNNNNNNNNNNNNNNNNNNNNNNNNNNNNNNNNNNNNNNNNNNNNNNNNNNNNNNNNNNNNNNNNNNNNNNNNNNNNNNNNNNNNNNNNNNNNNNNNNNNNNNNNNNNNNNNNNNNNNNNNNNNNNNNNNNNNNNNNNNNNNNNNNNNNNNNNNNNNNNNNNNNNNNNNNNNNNNNNNNNNNNNNNNNNNNNNNNNNNNNNNNNNNNNNNNNNNNNNNNNNNNNNNNNNNNNNNNNNNNNNNNNNNNNNNNNNNNNNNNNNNNNNNNNNNNNNNNNNNNNNNNNNNNNNNNNNNNNNNNNNNNNNNNNNNNNNNNNNNNNNNNNNNNNNNNNNNNNNNNNNNNNNNNNNNNNNNNNNNNNNNNNNNNNNNNNNNNNNNNNNNNNNNNNNNNNNNNNNNNNNNNNNNNNNNNNNNNNNNNNNNNNNNNNNNNNNNNNNNNNNNNNNNNNNNNNNNNNNNNNNNNNNNNNNNNNNNNNNNNNNNNNNNNNNNNNNNNNNNNNNNNNNNNNNNNNNNNNNNNNNNNNNNNNNNNNNNNNNNNNNNNNNNNNNNNNNNNNNNNNNNNNNNNNNNNNNNNNNNNNNNNNNNNNNNNNNNNNNNNNNNNNNNNNNNNNNNNNNNNNNNNNNNNNNNNNNNNNNNNNNNNNNNNNNNNNNNNNNNNNNNNNNNNNNNNNNNNNNNNNNNNNNNNNNNNNNNNNNNNNNNNNNNNNNNNNNNNNNNNNNNNNNNNNNNNNNNNNNNNNNNNNNNNNNNNNNNNNNNNNNNNNNNNNNNNNNNNNNNNNNNNNNNNNNNNNNNNNNNNNNNNNNNNNNNNNNNNNNNNNNNNNNNNNNNNNNNNNNNNNNNNNNNNNNNNNNNNNNNNNNNNNNNNNNNNNNNNNNNNNNNNNNNNNNNNNNNNNNNNNNNNNNNNNNNNNNNNNNNNNNNNNNNNNNNNNNNNNNNNNNNNNNNNNNNNNNNNNNNNNNNNNNNNNNNNNNNNNNNNNNNNNNNNNNNNNNNNNNNNNNNNNNNNNNNNNNNNNNNNNNNNNNNNNNNNNNNNNNNNNNNNNNNNNNNNNNNNNNNNNNNNNNNNNNNNNNNNNNNNNNNNNNNNNNNNNNNNNNNNNNNNNNNNNNGACAAUCAGAUUGGUUUUGACUAAAUUAUAUUCUUUCGUGCCUAAUCCCAUAAUGAAAUAGGGAAUGUACUGUAAACAUCUUGCUUAUGGUCUGAUAUACACAUAUCCUCCAUCUACCGACCGUUCACGACAAUGUACGGUGCAUAUCAUCUAUUCUUCCAUACUUCAAUUAAGGAACAGUAGCUCAUCUCCACCGUCUAUCGGUAAGGAUAAACGGUGUGUGGGCUUUAUUUACCUCCCAAUAUAUGCAUCCAUAAAGGGGCCUUUACUACAACGUAGUCUUUUAGUUUUAUUAUGACAUUGUUUAGUUUUAGAUUAAGAAAUUAUUUAGUAAAAAACUCAUGGGAUUAAGGAAGAUUAAGGUACGAGGGGGCUGGUCUUUUGUUUUUGGUGCAAUGGUAUUAUUGUAGAGAGAGAGAGGUUCCCCGUUGAAGAGAGGGCAGGUACGUGGAUGGUUCAAGUAGUUGAAACCAACGCCGACGUUCAUUCAAUGGGCCUUCCUUAUAGGAAGAUUUCACUCUCUUCUCUCUCUAGGAUUUAUUCUCUCUCUAGGAUUUAUCUCUCCUCAAAGGAGGAUCUCUUCUCUCACUCCUCUGUAUAAGAGAGUCUCUCUCUAGGAAGUUCUUUUUCUCUCUUAUGGGAGGAUCUCACUCUCUCUCUAGCUUUGGCUUUCUAACUUCUAUCUCUCUAGGAUUUAUCUCUAUCCUCAAAGGAGGAUCUCUCUUCUCUCACUCCUCUGUAUAAGAGAGUCUCUCUCUAAGAAGUUCUUUUUCUCUCUUAUCGGAGGAUCUCACUCUCUCUCUAGCUUUGGCUUUCUAACUUCUCUCUCUAGCUUUGGCUUGGCUUCGGCACUGGGCUUGGAGAUCUUUUGGCAAAUGUUUUACGCAAAAUAUAGCAAAAUUGUUUAUUAAUUCCAAAAGGAAAAGAUAGAAAACUAAAAAAGAAAAGGUUUAUAAACGUUGCAAACUUAAAAGAAUUAAGGUGCACAUCGAAAAUCCAUAGGAAAAACUAUUUUGAUGUUGAAAAACACUUUAAUUGAUCAUAUCGAUAUUGAGAUGUAUGAAUAUCAAUAAAAAAAAAUGAGUCUUAAAAGUAAUGUAUCUUGUAACACAUUAUCUGGACCGUCUAUUUUCAAGAUUUUCAUAUGUUUAUAGAUCUACUUGAUUUGUAUUAUUUUUUAAAUUUAAAAUUCUAUAAUUAAAUAUGAAAAUAGAUUUUCAUGCCAUCCUAAUAAUUUUUACAUCAAAAUUAUAUUUUAUCAUAAAAUUUAGAGAUGCACCUGAAUUUGAAGUUGCAAACUUAUGCAAACAACACCUAACUUUUAAAAAAAAAAAAAGAAGAAGAAAAAAAAAAAACUAAGAAUGGAACUUUCUAGAUACAAUGGACAUUGAUCUCCAAGUAGGAAAACAUUGCAUCACAAAGAGAAGGUAUUGCUUUACAAGAGAAAAAUAUUUUGAUUAUGAAGCAAAAAGACUACGUGCUCCCUCAGGAACGUAAUAUAUACUUAUUCCCUGACGUAAAACCCUAGCUAGAAGUAAUUUUAAGACCCUAAGUUUUGGGAUGUAAACUCCUCAAUUGCACGACCAAUUAGAAAGAUAUUUCUAUGCAUUUUGAUUCUGCCUGAAAAAAAUUCAUGUGAUUUGGUCUUUUGGCCGAGAAGUGUAUAGUGUGCUCUUACAUGAUUAUGCAAUAUAUAAUUAUUUAAAAGUAUAUUAUUACUACUAUUACUAUAGCCCAUAAUAAUAAUAAGAGAAAUGAUCCUAUAGGACCCUCCUCUACCCAUGUGUCUAGGACCUCAAAGGAUCACCAUUAAAAUUGAUAUGGAUCUCUAAAAAAAUUAUCACAUGGGUUUGGGACUUGACUUUUCUAUAAAAUAAUAAUAAUAAUAAUAUUAUUAUUAUUAUUAUUAUUAUUAUUAUUAUUAGUAGUAGUAGUUGUAAUAGUAAUAGUAUUAGUAGUGAUACACUACUACUACUAUUAUUAUUUUAAGAAAUAUCAUUUACAUUCUCCCGUUUAUUCAAUUCUUAAGAUUGUCAAAUCAUCACAUUUAACAUUAAUAUAAUUACUUUUGUAAGUUUGAUUUCACUUUUAUACCUCUUCAAAAAAAUAUUUAAAAAAUGGCCAAGUUGUUUUUUUUAAAAGAUUAAGAACCCUGACCAAGUAAAAGAAUAUUGAUAAUUUGGCUCCAUUUAUGUAGCCCAUGCCACAUUACAGCAACAUGCUAAUUGUUUAAGGUCAACAACAUAGAAUUGUGAAAUAAUGAUAAUACCUUUAGUUGCUCGAGGUAGCAACAUGGAAUUCCCCUUAUCCUUAUAAACACAUACCAAGAACUCAUACUAUAUCCAUCUAAGGCCUUAACCGAGCUCGGAUUACAUGAAUUCUCUUACAUAGGAUCUCAAUCUUGAGCAAAAACAAUUUGGUCAUUUUUUAUUUAUUUUUUAAGAAGGUACUCAAGUAUAAUAAAACUUGAAAAGUAACCAUCCUGAAACCAAAUUGAAUGAUUUGAUCACAUCAAUAAUUUUGGUGAAGUGAUUUGACCAUUUGAUUUGAUAUUUCGCCUUUAUUAUAGUCAUUUUAUGAUUUUUUAAUUGAUCAACCUAAUGAAUUUGUAAAAUAAUUUAGCCAUUAAGUUUGAUAAUUCCCCAUAUCAUUGCUAUGUUUAUUAAUAUUUUACAUUAUUAUUAUAGUUGUUAUUAAAAAUGACUAGUAUCUUUGUUGCUUCUUUGGCCCUAGGAAAGUUUGGAUGUUGAGUUUUGGCUCUAGGAAAGUUUGGAUGUUGAGUUUUACUUUUGAUUUGAGGGCGGUCAUAUCAGCACUAAUGCACUAAAUCCCAUCAGAGUUCUUAAAUUAGUAAUAAAACAGUCCCCCACUGAUUUAUCCAAAAAAAAACAAAAGUUUGCUGGUUAAAGAUAAAGAACCCUAGGCUUGGCUUCCUUGGGUUGGCUAGUGACCCUAAAAGUCCACAAUAUGUGGGUUCCAAAAUUCAAGGGAAUUUUUUUCUUUCCCCAAAGUUCCCCUAAACUUAGAGAAGGAAAUCUCUUUUGGAAUUCUCUUAUUUUUUGAGAUAAGAUUUCGUUAAAGCCUUUACUCCACUUCCCUACCCAUAGAUUCAAACUGGUAGAUAUCAACAUCAACCACCUUUGUUUUUUCUUUUUAGUUUACUUCUCCUCUUUCUCUCCACUAGUUUGUUGCACGUGUGAUCAAUGGCUAGCAAUGCUCCAUGUGUGGCAUGCCCAGAGACCUCCCUAUUUUGUCUCUUGAGCCAUCAAUUUUUUUGUUGAAGAGUUCAAAUAUUUUUGAAAAGGGUGUCUCGAGUCAUAAACUAUAAACCACUUUUGAUAAAUUUUCACAAUCGUUUCACUUUUGAUAAAUUUUCACAAUCGUUUAGUUUAUGUGAUUGAUAAUUUGAUAUGCAUUCCAAUUAUGCCCAAGCUUUAGACUUAAUUUCAGUAAUUUAUUAAGAAAUUUGGCAUCACCUAGUUGACCCCCAAUAUUUGGUCCAUCAUUUUCUUAAGCCUUUUUUUUUUUUUAAUUUACUAUUUUACUUAAAUAUCUUUUCCAUUUUUUAUUAAUUUACUAUUUUAUGUAAAUUUAAGAAUUAAUUUUAAAGAAAUGAAUUGAAUAAUAUUCUGUCUAAUUUUAAAGAAAUGAAUUGAAUAAUAUUAUGUGCUUGUUUUGCCCUUCUGUUCCACAUUUCAUCUUUUUAAAAAAACUUGGAGUUGUAAAAUGGAUAGUACUUAGGUGUAUCUAUGGAGAUAGUUCAUGAUUUCGGUAAAAAGAAUUUCAAGUAUCAAAAAUACUAUAUUCUAUACCAUUUUUUGAUACCGCUUAUUUCAAUGCUUCCAAGAUUGUUAUAUCUGCAUUAUUUUUAGAGCUCUAAUUCCAAGGGUCUAAGGCAUAAUUAAAUUUGCAACAUUUUUAGUCUUGAGAUCCUUGAAAACUAAAACGACCCUUGAAUACACAUCAAAAAAAAUUCUUUUAAAAAUAUAAAAUUUUAAAUAGAAAACCUUUGUCUCAAACUAGAUUUUUUUCAAAUCUAUAAUGUCAUUUACCAGUUAGAAGAAUAAAUGCUUGUUUUUUUUCAUUGGGGGACCUUGACUUUAUAUUUAUAUUUAAAAAUAUUCACUAAAAAGUCGUUGUGGAAACAUAUAUCUGAGGUCACGAACAAAUAGAAGUACACCACACACGUGUCAACUGCUCCUUUUGGGACCAUGUGCUAUGGUCCUAGGCAAUAAAAUAAAAACUUUUAUUUCGACAAAUAGAUAAAUAUAUAAAUAAAAAAUAGAAAUAGCUUUUUAUUAUUUAGCCAAAUAAUUUCUUUUUUUGGGUAAGUGGAGGUGACGAGUCCCUAGCAGUGUAAUAUUUCUGAUCAUGCAAAAAUAAAAAUAAAUAUUGUAAAAGAAAUGGUUGUGGUUUUUUUAUACAUAUGUGAGAUGCAUCUUGAAAGGAAAAGUAUAAAAUGAGACCAUUUACUUUUGAUACAAAGUGGUCACAUUAAUCUUGACCAUUGCAUAUGAACUUGGGUGGCUACAAUUAUUUUAUUGACCAGGUUCAAACUUCAAAAGAAAUUUUUUUGAACUUUUUGACAAAUCUAAGCUAUCAAAUUUCACAUCAAAUAAUUGUAAGUAAUCGUGACCACCUAUUAUCAAAGGUAAAUGUUUUCAUUAAACAAAAAGUAAAAAGUGUGCUUUUUGUAGAGCUGGGGCUUUAAGAUAUUUGUAUAAUCAUACUUAAACUACCACAAUUGGAAAAUGAGUUCAAGAAUGAGAAGCCUUAAUGAUUUCCCGGAAAUGUUUUCGCCCCUUAUUAUGGAAUCGAAAUAAAUCUAGCAGAUUUGUGAACACUUAAAAUGGAUAAUUCAAAAUUGUAUAAUAAGAUCGAAUAUUUUUAAGGUUUGAAAUCUAAUUUUUUUAAUCAAAAUUAUGACUGUUCACUGAUAUUAUAUUUAAACCGAGAUUUGAGGCGUGGCUUUAGAGCCGUGGCGCUACAAAAUACUACCCCAAAAGUACAUAGGAUAAACAAGAGGAAAUGGUCUUGUCAAAAAAACGAAAGGAAAUGGUAGGUAUACAAAUGAUGCAAGGAUUUAUUAUGGAAAGAUUCGUAUUUAUUUUGCAUUAAUCAUCUAAAUUCCCGUAUUCAUAAGUCAUUCUUUUCCUUGCUUUUUGUAAUUUAAUUCCUUAUAAAUGACCGAUCUUUUUGGUAGAAAUUGAACAAAAAAUAAGCGAUAAAUCCAUUUUAUUAACGCGAGGCUCUAAGGAAAUGAAAAUACAAAACAAUAAUGAAAUUAUUUCUCUUAAAUUGACUUCUCAAAUAUUAUUGUAUGUGCAAUCUUUAUUUGUUUUCAUAUCUGAUUGGAAAUAUGGCCUUUAAUAGAAUAAAACGGCAUAACAUGAUUCAUUUAACCAAACCCAAAUUUUUAAUUGCGGUAAAUGAUGAUGAUGAUGUUGGUUAUAAGAAAUUCUUACAGUAAUGGAUACUAGACUUUGUAAGUUGUUUUAUUCUCUCCAUUUUGCUAUAUUUUAAUUGAAAAAUCUUUGGUCCAUGGCUUGGUCUUGGAACCGUGAAUAUGGUUGGGUAGGUGGUCCAUGGGGUGCAUUUCUAACCUAACCUUUCGGUUGUGUUAUUGUCUCAAAAGUAAAGGCCGACAUGUUAGUGCCAACCCCAUGGACAAGAAGAUAAACAAUAACACUAAACACAAACCAAGUCAACUCCUUGAUUUUUGAAUAAUAUAUUAUGUUAUAAUUGAGAAAUCUCUCUUCUCUUUCCUCUUUGAAUAUUUCUGAUAAUGUGAUAUCUCUAUUGUAACCCUAUUUUAUUAUAUCUCUCUGUUACAUCAAAAGCAUUAUCUCUCUGAUAAUGUUUCUCUUUUCUUUUUAUUAUUUCCAAUAAUGUGACAUCUCUAUUGUACCUUUGUUAUUGUAUCUCUCAUUUAUAUCAAUAAAUUUCACAAAUAUUGUCAAAAAAAAAAUCAGGUAAGGCAUACCUUUUGGUAUCAUAAACUCUUAUUGAAACCUGAAAAUCUAUUUAUGACCAUAAUUAUAAAAUUGAAUAGUUAAAGUUUUUGAAAAUAGAUGAUCAAGAUAAUUUGUCAAAAAAUACAUCAUUUUUACAAUAUAAUUUUUUUAUUUUUUCAAUAUCCAUCUUGAGGUCAAGAUGAUCACUGGGGACUUUCUGGCAUUAGAAUGACUUUUUCAUUUUGGUUAUGACGUGAGUAUAAGGUUGACGCUUUAUAUAAAAACUUUCCUUGAGAGAUUUAUGCUUGGAGGGCUUAUUACUAUGAGACUGUAUAAAUGAUACUAUUAGUUUUUUUAUACAAAGGUCACAAACGCCAGUGUCAUUUUUCCAAACAAAAUUAGGAUUUUAUUUUUUUAUUUUGAUCAUCAUUGUCGUUCAAGAUUCAUCCCAACUAUUUCAAGUCAGCUUUACGAAUCUUGUUCUACUAUUUGGCUCUUUGAAGGGUCAGUCAGACUCAUCGCUAUGUCUCUUCUCACUACUUUCAUCCGUGUCUUUUUGGGCAUUCUCCUUAUCCAUUUAUAUUCUUCUACCUGAACCAAAUCGACUCACCUAACUGCUAUUGUUUAAGUAUAAUUUUUAUUUGGAUCACGAUCAAUCAUAUACUUCCAGCCACCCAAUUUCACAUCUACGAAAUAAAGAUACGUAUAACUUUUUUGUGCCGAAUGUAAUCCACCAUAUUGUAUACUUUUUCUAUCAUAUUUGAACCAUAUUGAUGCUCUCAAUUAACCUGUUCUCCUAUAUCCCAAUUUGGUACGACCAGACUGACGCAAUAAAGGAAAAAAAUUGCAAAUGUUCUCUAUGUCCACAUCUUAUGAUUGAAUAUGGUCCAUUCAAUUUUGAACUUUUAGAUAUAGGGUUGCAUACUAUAAUACAUUUAUCUUUGAUACAAAACAGUCACAAUUCCUUACAACCAUUUGAUGUGAAAUUUGAUAGUUUGGAUGUGUCACAAAAAAAGGGAAUUUCUUUUGAAGUUUGAGCGUGGUCAAUGGAAUAAUUGCUACCACCCAAUUUCACAUCCAAUGGUCAAGAUUAAUGUGAUCACUUUGUAUCAAACGUAAAUGGUCUCAUUCUAUACUUUCCUUUUAGAUAUAUGUCCUUAUGAAUUUCAAUUUUUAUUUUAUUUUAUUUUAUUUUGUUAUUACCAAUUUUUUGUUAGGAUUCUCAUUUAGUGAUCUUGAAAGUCGAUCCCAAAAUUUUAGACCAAUAAAAUACUCCUAAGUAGGUCUAUCACGCUAGUCUCACACACUAGAGGUCCCUGGUUCGAACCCGGGCUUAGACAACCAUUAUUUUUAUUGUCAAAAAAAAAAAACACUCCUAAGUAGGUCUUUCGGAUGAGAGAGUAAGUGUACAAUAUACUCCAACAAGAGCAUUCUAAUCCCUAAUGAAAUAUCUCUUUGCAAUUGUGGCCUUAGCCCUAAAAUGAUAAUUUUCUAAUUUUGAAGCCAUAAAUGGAGCAUAAUAAUAAUUCAUAAGACCCAAGUGUAAGUCCUUAAAAUGCCCCAUACCCCAUAGUUUUAUUCUCUGUCUCCCAUUUUGGAAAGUAAAUCCUUUUUUUGGGUGAGUGGAAAGUAAAUCCUUAGUGUCAAACAAAAAUAUCUUUUUUUCUUUGUUUGUAGUGUUUGUAUGUGUCAACAAACCUUGAAAAUUAAGUUUGGAUAAAAAUGUCACACCUCUUAAUAAAUGCGAGACCAUAAUGAGGACCAAAAUUUUGGUCGAGUUUUGGUUUUUUGAAGGGGGGUUGGUGGGGUCGUAAAGACAUUGGUUUUGAUUAAGAUGAAACUUAGGCCCCAUGAAAUUGAGGGGACUUGCCCACAAAUAAUUCCCUUGGACAUAAGCGGCUUGGAUUCAGACCACCGGCCAAGGCAUAUACCCCUCUGUCUCUAUACCUUCCAAAGCUUAUAUAUACCCCUAGAGGUGGCAAUGGACCCGACCUGACCCAACUUGGGUCUGGGUAUGAGUUUAAGAUUUGGACUUGACGAGUCUCGGGUUCGGGUCCAAAUAUUGGACCCAAACACUAUUAGGUCUGGGUUUAAGUCCAAGUCCGUGUGGACCCGAUCUAAAUAGUAUUAUUAUAUAAAUAAUAUUUAAUAUAUACUAUUUCAAUAAUAUUUAAAUAUAUAUUUUUAGUUAUAAUAUUUAAUAAUAUAUAUAUAUGGAUUUGACCCGACCGGUUGCCACUCCUAAAACCCAUCUCUCUCUCUCUCUCUUCACGGGCCCAAGCAUACACCCAUCUACAUAUCUCCCUCUCUUUUUCAACUUUGAACAUACGAAUCUCUUUCUCUCUCACUCUCUCCAAGCAUAUAGCAUGUCUCUUUUCCUCUCUCUAACACAUUUUGUUUCUUGAAUUGAAAGUACGAACUCAUAUACGCACGUGCCGUUGUUGAGAAAUGGCCAACAUUGUUGCCGAACAAGCAAUAUAUCUGUGCGCAACAAAUUCGGUCUUAAUCACAAGACUGGAUUGCAAGAAAAAAGAUCCCAACUCUCAAGCGCGGAAAAAAUGUGAAAAUUGUGAUACUUUUAUUUUCGAUUCAAACUAUGGAGUACCAAAAAAAUGAAAAGAAAAAUGUGAUUGUUUUAAAUUCAACUCAAACUGUGGAGUGCCAAAAAUUUGGAAGAUGUGAUUGUUUUUUUUUGUUUGACUUUACCUUUCAGGUUUAAAAAAAACGAUUGUAUACUACGAGAUCAUUUAUCUUUAAUACAAAAAAGGACAAUUAAUCUUAGCCAUUAAAUAUCCAAUUAGAUGGCUUGAUAUAUAUCAUGAAGUUCAAAAAAAUAUUUGUCGGGCUUUGAGUUUAGUCACAAAUACACUUACAAUCAUUUGAUUUGAAAUUUGAUGGAAAAAAAUAGUAGUGAUCUCUUUGUACUAAAAGCAGAUAUCUCUAUGUACACUUUUCCUUUAAAGCUUUGCCUAAUAAUUUUUGGAAGAUAUCAUAAGAACCGCACUUUUUAAAAUGUUCUUUAAAAAAUGGAGUUUUUUUUGAGAAAUCGUAUUUUACAAGGAGUAUCGCUAAUUAUCGUUCAAAGUUCAAACACAACUCUUUUUCGAGUGUCAACAUUGGGAAUGGAGCCUAAGACGUUAUUUUGAGGCACUUGCCCUUCUAAUCACCAAUGCCCUUUGAGGUGUAAAACGGGAAAGGUCGACCGCAGAUCACCCCAACCCAGGUUUGAAUGAGAAAUUGGGAACUAGAUUGCCAGGUUUAGUCCGAGUCCAACUCAGAUCCAUCCAUUCAGGUCGAGUCUGGACCGAGGUAGACCGAACUCGAAUCUAUCCAUUAAGGUCGAGUCUGGACUGAGGUAGACCCAUCACAAACCUAACUCAUACAUACCAUUAUACAACACAUUUGAGGCCUUAUUUUCUCUCACACACACACAUUGGAAAAAGGGUACAGUUUGUAUAGAGCCAAGGCUCAAAACAAGCAAAUUAGAGCCCACCUUCAAAUAGUGUCGAGAAAUGUGGUUUCAAUACUGGAAAUCUUUGAGAUAACUUUAAAAUAUGCUUUCAUAUUUAAAUAUAAAAUUUAAAACUUCAAAAACAAUGUAGAUCGAGCAAAUCUAUGAAAACUUAAAAAUCUUGAAAAUUGACAGUAAAAAAUGUGGUACAAGCUGCACUAUUUCCAAAACUUGAAAUCCACUUUUUUUCUCAUAUUCAUGCAUCUUGAUGUUGAGAUGAUCAAUUUGAAGAUAUUUGAUCAUCAAAACAACCUCUUCUAGUGAAUUUUUUGAGGUGGGUUCCAAUUUGAUUGUUGAGAGCUUCGGCUCUAUAUAAACUUUGCCUUUGGGAAAAUAUGGGCACAUGGCACAUGUAGCACACUAUUCAUUCAUGAGGAAAACAUUUAGUUAAUGAAAUCCCAAGAAGAAGGGUUGUACCCAAAUUUGAAGUAACAACAGUUACUAGGAAAAGAGGAAGGGCCUUCUUCUAGUACACCAUGUUCCCACCUAGUUGGUGGCCCUGUCAGCUUUAGAGAAAGAACUGAACCGUAUUCUUUUAACUCAGUUUCUUUCAUAAAAGCUUUGAGUUUUGGUGUCAGAGUAGGGUCUCAUGGCUUUGGUGCAUUGUUUAUUUCCUUGUACAACUUUUAUUUCCUUGUAAAUUGUUGGUAGAAUUAUUGUCGUCCACUCAAUUAUCUGCUGGACUCUUAUUGGUGGUCCCAACAGUGUUCAGGGAUUGUGUCGAGUUGACUCGCCGAGUUAUUAGGACUCGGGUCCUCAUCAAGCCACGCACUCUGGGUAAAACUUGGGGUUAUAUAAAAAAUAUAAAAUAUAAAAAAUAUGCUAACUUGUAAAAUUAUGUAUGAAUAUCUUGUGUGCAAUUUUAAUAUUUUUGAUGACGGUUUGCAUGUUUUUCUUCUAAUAUACCCCAUUUUAUAUUUUCCUAUUUUUUUAGAUUUUUUUGAAGUGUCUCAAUCUCUAAAUCAAUUUUUUUUUCAAGUCCAUGUUUUAUAUUUUUUUUAUUUGAAAUUUUGAAAUUUUUUUAGUUUACUUUGAUUUUUACUAUUUUAUUUUAUUUUUAAUUAUUUUAUUUUUAUUUUUAUUACCUCAUACACUAGUUGGACGAGUCCACUCAGACUCGCCCAAGUUACUUGGCUCAGGCAAAGUCCUCCUCACAAGCCCAAUACGAGUCCUGACACUAGCUCCUAGUGUUUAAGUUUGAAAGAAGAAGGGCUUGAAAUUCCUUGUAUUGUUGUUUGAUUAGGUGAUGCAGUUUUGUUUUAAUUUGUUUAAUAAUAAAAAACACACUCAAUUUGAUAGGACUUAGAUAAGGAGAUUUAUAUCUCAAUCCUAAUGUCUUGAACAUCUCUCUUUCUUUCCCUUACAUUUUAUUUGGUGCAAGGUUUAUCAAUCAUACUUGACUGGAUAAGCUAAGCUAUUUUGGAUCAGUUUAGUUUGAUUAGAGAUGAUAAAGAAGUUUAGGGAGGGCUGGGUCGGAUCGGGUCCAAAUCUGAAUUUGGAUAUACAUGGGAUCCAUAUCUAGAUCCGGAUCCAAAAAGUAUAAAUGGUCCAGAUCCGAAACUGAUCGGAUCUAAAAAAGUUAUUUAUAUAUUAUCUAUAAAAUAAUAUAACAAAAAACUACUAUAUAAUAUAAGUAUAUAUAUUAUAAUAUAUAAUAUUUUAAUAACGGUUGGAUCCAAAUCAGAUCCACCGGUACCAAAUCCAAUCCAAAUUACUAUUUGGAUCCAAUUUGAUCCGACUGUUAAUUCCAAUUAUUGUAUCCAUAGCCAAAUGCAGAUAGGGUCUAAAAUUUAGUUUUCGGAUCCAAACUAGAUAAAUUCUCAGCCCUAAGUUUAGGUUGGUCCUAGAUAAUUAUCUUUUCAUAUGGUUUGGCUCCAAACAUGGUCCGGCUCCAAAAACAUCUAGUUAGAGGGGGGAUCUUCUUGUAAUCUAAAAAUUUUCACAUGAUUUUCUUUUCACCUUGCGAACAAUAUUUUGCCCAAUUUGGGCACUUAAAACAGUAGAUUUGGUCAUCCAUCAAAUGGAUAUCAGAUGGAUUUGAUUUUGAGCAUUUGAGUACUGUAUGAACUUUUCUUUUCUUUUUUUUUUCCUUUGUAAAUAUUGUAUUCCACGAUAAAUUCAAUUUCGCAUAUAGAGAUAAUGAACGCUCUAAGCAGCCAGAUGUGAAACUAUAAAGCUAGGGCAUGUUAUUUCUCGACAAAGCGUGGCUGCUAUAUUUCUAAGGGGCAGAACUGUGUCCGAGUAGUCUUGCUCGAUCACCUAUUGUUUUGCCAUCAAAAUAUGCUAUGCACUAUGUUUGCUUGAUGCGUAAAGAGGAUGGGGAGUCAAUUUCACACUUGCUUCUUUAUUGUUGACAUACAACAUACAUAUGGUAUGCUUCUUUGGGAUGUUAGGCUUCAGUACAGGUCUUCUUCAAAAUGUCUUGGGUAUCAUUUCUCCGUUAGUAUUUUUGGCUUUACCAAAUUGAGAGCAAGGAUUUGGCAAAUUGUUAAAGGAGCUGUGUGUUGCGAGUUAUGGAAAAAACGGAAUAGACGUACUUUUGAAUAAAUUUGUCUUUCAUGUGACGGUCUAAUUCAGCGUAUUAUUCAUAUGAUAUGGUGAUGGCUGUUAGUCACUAAGGAUGGGAGAGGUGUUAGCGAGAUCAAUGUGUGGCUUAAUCUAACCUAUUUUGUGGUCUCUAAGAGUGUUAAGACCAUACCAGUUAGCAAAUGAAUACCCUUGGUGCAAGGUUGGUUAAAGUUAAACUUUGAUGGCAGCUCUCUCGGUAAUUCGGGUAAUGCAGGGAUAGGAGGUGUGGUACGUGCUUGGAUUGGAUCAAUUGUUCUUGCCUAUGCAGGAUCUAUUGGAAUUGCCACGGCUAACAUGGCUAAGUUUAGAGCCUUGCUCAAAGGAUUACUCCUUAUUAAAGCCAUGAAUUUGGGUCACGGUAUAAUGGUCAAAGGUGAUUACCAAAAUGUGAUUAGAUGGUGCAAAAGGAACAAAGAGUUCCUUGGUUGCUACGAUCGUUUUGGGUCCAAGUGGUGAAUUUGAAAAGGGAAUUAUCUUUACCGUUCCGUCACGUCUUUAGAUAAUCGAAUGAUCUUGCUGAUGGUUUGGCUAAAAGAGGUGUUGUUAUGGAUUCCUUUUCUAUUUUGAAGAUGUAAUGAGCGAAUGAUGGAACUGCAUUUUAGUUGACAACAAAAUUUGACAACAUUUGUCAAACAAAAAAAUAUGCCAUGCACUACUAGUGUAUGACACACUACAAGAACUUUGGAUUGCCAUUGGCCCGGACUUAGGCCAAACCAUUAUAGGCCCAGACCUGCACUGAAAUAUUUUAGUUAGGGCUGCCAAUGGGCUAGGUUCGGUACAAGUGAGCCUGCACUCGGACUCAUUCGAAAUUGUUAGGGUGAGGCCUAGGCCAAAAUAUAUCAUUUUGGGCCGUACCCGAAAACUUCGGGCCAAGCUCAAUAUGCAUCUACACUAUCAUUUAAUAUAUAUUCUAGUGGAUUUACGUAUGUGCACGUUGAAUUGUAAUAAGUUAUGAAAGUAAAAUUUAAAAAUUACAAAAAUGUUCAUAUAGAGCCAAGGCUCUAAACAAUCAAAUUAGAGCCUAUCUCAAAAUUUUCACUAGAAGAUGUUGUUUUCAUGCCCAAAUAUCCUCAAAUUGAUCAUCUCGACAUCAAGAUGAAUGGACAUGAGAAAAAAAAAGGAUUUCAAGUUUUGGAAAUAGUGUAUUUCGCAACGCAUUUUUGGACCGUCAAUUUUCAAUAUUUUCAAGCUUUAAUAAAUCUCUCUAUCUACACUAUUUUUUAAGCUUUAAAAAUUAUAAAUAAAGAUGAAAAUAUAUUUUAAGGCUAUCAAAGAGAUUUCCAAUAUUGAAACCACAUUUCUUGAAGGUAGGCUCUAAUUUGAUUGUUUAGAGCCUAGGCUCUUUACAAACCGCACCCAUAUAGAUAUAGAUAUAGUAUAUUUACUUUAUUCUUUGUAUAAUGUUUGGUCCUAGCUAUUUCUUCAUCUUAGAACUUCAAAAACACAAAAUCGUGAUAGAUAAUUUUUAAAUUAUUAAAAUAUUCAUUAAAAGUAAGAAAUAGUUCUAAACUAUUUUUAUAAAAUAAAACUAAAAUACUUUUAACAAAUUUAUUGUCUAGCGUAAACAGUCUACAGACUACUAAUAAAUUUGAAGGAUGAAAAUUUAAUGAAAAUAGAGAAAGUAGUCAUAAAUGUAUAGCGAACGAUUAAAAUUUCGAAACCUAAGAACAUUCAAUAUUUUAAUAUGGGUGCAGUUUGUAUAGAGCCGAGGCUCUAAACAAUCAAAGUAAAGCACAUCUUCAAAUAGUGUCGAAAAAUGUCAUUUCAAUACUGGAAAUAUUUGUGAUAGCUUUAAAAUAUAUUUUUAUCUUUAAUUAUAAAAUUUAAAGCUUCAAAAAUAGUGUAGAUUGAGCAGUUCUAUGAAAAUCUUGAAAUUUGACAGUCCAAAAAUGCGUUUUAAGCUGCAUUAUUUUCAAAAAUUGAAUUGUAUCUUUUUUCUCAUGUCCAUACAUCUUGAUGCUGAGAUGAUCAAUUAGAGAAUAUUUGGCUAUCAAAACAACCUCUUCUAGUGAAAUUUUUGAGGUGGGCUCUAAUUUGAUUGUUUAGAGCCUUGGCUCUAUGUAAACUUUUUCCUUUUAAUAUUUGAUAUUUAGCUCAAAAUUUUUAAUGUGUAAAAGAAUUUAAUAUAUCAUAAUGAAAAAAUUUCUUUUCAAAAAAUUUAGAGGUAUUGUAACUAAAUAGCUUUUCAAUAAUUUUAACUCUUAUAUCGAUUGUAUCUUUAAUUGUUUUAGCAUAAAUGAAAGACAAAAUAUGAGAAAUGAUACUAUAAGAUCCUCUCACACCUAUGUGAGUAGGACCUCAAAGGAUCAUCAUUCAAUUUAGCACAGAUCUCUGAAAAAGUUACCACAUCGGUGUGAAACUUGACUUUUCUAGAGAUGUGUGCCAAAUUUGAUGGUGACCAUUUAGAGUCCUACUCACAUGGGUGCGGGAGCGUCUCAUAGGAUCACUACUCUAUCAAUAUUAUGGAAAGGUCUUCCCAGAAUCUAGAAAAAUAUCAUCUCUUUUUUUUUUCUUUUCUUUUCUUUUGUUCUAACAAAAUUACUAAAUAUUACUAUUGAUAUGCAAAAAAAAGCAUACCAAUAAGCCAAUAAAGAAAGAACAAGGAAUCAAGUAAAAGGAGAGUCUGUCACUCCAAGCUGGCAAAAGAGUUCGUCUCUCUCUUUAUUUGAGCCAUUUCGCAAGCCUAUCGUUUGUAGUACCUCGAUUUAGCGGAAGCCCUCUAUACCCAUUUUGUCGCCUCCCAUGAUGAGUGAGACAAUCUGUCAGGUUUUUUCAUGGUCCUUGGUCCCAAACCAUUUUUGACAGAGAAAGAGUUGAAUCUAGCCCUCGGCUGGGAGUAGCUAAGGCUACCUAGCAUUUAGGUCCAAGUGCUUCUUUGUUUUGUUCAACAAGUGAUGCUCUGCAACCAUUCUUGAUUUGCCGUUGCAUCAUCAAUCCAAACUCUGUCCAGAUUGACUACAAUAGCUUUCCUGUCACUAGCAACAGUUGAAAGAAAAACAUUGGGCUUUUGGCGACCCCUGCACUCCUGUAAACAAAUGAAAUCCGCCUUCGACAUUGUUUGAGUUGGGACUAUUGUAUCGAAUCUCUUGAUAACAACAUCUAUCAUAAAUGAAUUCUCUAGUGUUUUACUCCUUACCAUCGAGGGAUUUAAUCGUACACCUGACCACAUGCAGUUACGAGAAGUGAUCGUGAUUCCGUUCCGAAUAUCCCUUAUGCAGUGCCUGUUCAUAGGUAAAGUGCUAUGUGAGGACUUUGAGAUCCAUAUGUUAAAUUUGUGUAGCAAAAUCGGAAUUCAUAUGCAUAUAUUAAUUAAAAGGGUUCAGAUGCGGGAAGAAAUUCCAGGUUACCUCCCGAGAAUCAAUGGGUGGGAUGGCAAGACUGAAGGUUUUAAAGAGACCUUUACCGAAUUGGUCUUCGUAAGCUUCUAUGGCAUAGACAGACUCCUCCUGGAUUGAGAAUUGUCUUCAUAGGGAAGUGAGAUGGAUGCUGCUAAAGGAGGAAGAAGCAAUCAUCCUGGUCCAAGAUUGAAGUCAGAGAUCUCUAGACUCCGGAGGGGGGGGGGGGGUGAUACGAUGUGUAGCGCAGUCUGGUCAGCGCAUCUGUUUUGGGUACAAAGGGCCAUAGGUUCGAAUCCUGUCACCUUGAUGUGAAAUCAGCUAAUACUAAACUAAAAUAUGAGCAUCAAGCGACCGUUACUACCUCAUCUUACUAACUUGACCGACUACCACAAUCGCAUCUCGCAUCCGGAAUAGGAAGGAUAUUGGUUGAAUAUCGCUUGUACCGAACGCAUUACUCUCAUGUCCUACCAUUCUCACCCUUCCUUCCCUUUCCAGUUAAUCAGUCCUCGUUUGAGGUUCGGUUCAUUUGGAAAAGAGGUCAGUCUUAGGGGAGACCAUGCGAAUGGUUGAAUUGAUGACAAAGCUUCGAUCUCGUCGACUGAACCUGAAGGAGACUUCGAUCAUUCAACUUUAGCUUCCGAAGGAAUCAUGUCACUUGGAAUUUCGGAAGGUGAAUAUUCUCUUUCAGAUCUUGGCCUUGGUAGAACUUGUCAUUGAUUGGGAUUUCGAUUGAAAAGAUGGGCCCUAAGGCGGGCGAGCCGAGCAUAUUGAUCAUUCCCAUUUCCUACCCCUCUUCGCCGCUACCAGGCCAUGUGCAACGAGUGGGAGCAACUCGUCAGGCAACAUGCCUGCAUUAAAAUUGAAAACUUGUCGUCUACUUUCAAGAAAUGUUUGGAACAGAGAACUUGCAAGAAAACAACGCCGCAUUCUUCAGAAUUUCUAUUUCCAUUCGCGUAUAUUAGCUCAGAAAUGGUCCACGUACCACAUUAUGUCUCUUUCUACAAACUAAUGUUUAAAAAUCUGGGAAAGUAAAUCAUCUCUCUCUCUCUCUAUCCAUGCAUCUCUGUCUUUUCUUUUUCUUUUUUUCCUAAUGUUCUAUCCAUGUGUCUAUAUCGCUCUUUUCUUUACAUUUCUCUAUUCUAAACAGAUGCACUAAAAUUACCUUAAAAAUAGUAGGAUAGCCUGUAUAGUUUUCCCUUAACUCCCUCUAUUUCUAAGGGCAUACCCUGCAGUUUCUCUAGAAUAGGGCUACUUUAUAUUUUGUAUGACACGUGUUUAGCCCUUAAAUAUGGCUUAAUAAAAUAGUUUUACGUGAUGGCCGCAUACUAAUGAAGCUCAAGGGAAAGUUCUAUAGGACAGUUAUAAGACCAACUUUGCUUUAUGGGGUUGAGUGUUGGAUCGUCAAGAAACAACAUUCCCAUAGAAUAAAUAUAGUUGAGAUAAGGAUGUUGAGAUGGAAGAAUGGCAAGACAAGAAGAAAUAGAAAUUGAUGUGAAUAUAUUUGAGAGAAUUUAGGUGGGGUAGAAAUAAGCAAUAAAACGAGAGAAGGUAGACUUAGUUGGGCUAGCCAUGUGUUGCGCAGAUCCAAUACAACGUCUGUUAGGAUGUGCGAGUUAGUUCAAAUGGAAGGCUCAAAAAGGGAGAGGGAUAGGCCGAAAAGGAUAUGAUUGGAAGUAGUGAAAAAAGAUCUAGGGACCUAUAGUCUCACUAAAGGUAUGGACCUUAGUAGAGAAUGAUAGACUAGAAUUAGUGUAGCCGAUCCAAAUUAGUUGAGAAAAGACUCUGACAAUGAUGAUAUAAACAUACCUUUUUUCUUUUCUAGACCGGGCCAAUCCCGUCUAAAAUUACCUUUAAACUAACAUGACGUGUGUACCAGUCCAGCCCACGAGUCUUGCAACACAAACCCAGCCCAAAUGCCUGUGGGCCCAUAGAGGCCCAUAGCAAGCCUAGUUUUAGUAAAGCAUAGUCUUUGACUUCCCCGGCUUGGUUGAGAAUAUCCCAUGACCAUGGGUGGCCUCUAGACCAAGCUAAUGUCUCUCUCUUAAAAAGAUAUCAAAUUAUGAAAUUUAAAAUUUCAAAAAUAAUGCAGAUCAAGCAGAUCUAUAUAGACUUCAACAUCUCAAAAAUAUUUUAUAUAACAAACUUGUUACAAGAUGCACUAUUUUUAUGACUAUAAAUGCUUUCUUUUUUCGAUGUAUUCAUAUGUCUCGAGGUCGAGAUCAUCAAUUAGAUGGUUUUCCAACUUUAAAACACUCUUUUCUACUAGAUUUCUUUAGGUACACCUUACUUCUUGAUGCAGGUAGAAAAAUAAUAAACAUAUAAAAAAAAAAAGGGGAAAAUUAUCAGAAAUAUACCUUAAUUUUUGUCUAAUUAAAAAAAAAAAAAAAACUCAACUUUCAUAAACCUUGUCAACAACUUUUUUUUCAAUCUUGACAUUUUUUAAGCAAAAUAGCCUUCACGGUAGUCGUAUAACCGUAAUGACUACCAUAUUACGAUACUUUAAAUAUUGUAAUGACUGGGUUAAGCAUUACAUUACUUUAAGUACCGUAAUGACUAGGCUAAGCAUUACGGUACUUUAAAAUCAUAAUGUUCCAUUGGUCUCUUUCUCCCUCAUUUGCCACAUUUGAAGAUUACGGUAUUUAAAUUAUCAUAAUGCUUAGCCUGGUCAUUGUGGUAAUUAAAGUAUCAUAAUUUUUAGCCUGGUCAUUACAGUAAUUAAAGUAUCAUAUUGUCUAGCCUGGUCAUUAUGGUAUUAAAAGUAACAUAAUGCGAUAAUAUGACUAUUGUAAAGGCUAUUUUGGUCAAUAAAUACCAAAAUUGAAAAAAAAAAAAAAUGAUGUGGACGAUGUUUAUGAAAGUUGCGGGUUUUUUUUUUUUCAAUUAGAAAAAAAUUAAGGUAUAUUUCUGAUAAUUUUUCUAAAAUAAAAGGGUUGAGAUAUUAUACUCUCUCUGGCUCUGUAAAAGACUCCACCCUAAGAUAUUUUCAUAAGAUCAAAUUUUUUCUUUAUUCUCUAAUCUCUCUCACUACAAAUAAGGGAUAUAUUCCCUUUAAAUACAAACUUAUAAAAAAUAAUAAAUAAAAUAAAAUAAAAAUAACAAGCUAAACUCUAUCUCUCAUUUAUCUCUUAAAAACAACUCUCUCAUAUCCUAACCAACCCAAACAUGAUAAUCCUUAUCCAUAUCUAUCUUUUAAAAAUAAUAAUAAUAAAUGAACUUUCAAUUCUGCCAAUUAAAUAUCUAAAACUAAAAAAAGGCAAGAAUAAUUGUAAGUCUUAAAAACUAUAAAAAUUAAAAAUAUAACUUCUUUAUUUGCAUAAUUCUCCCAGGGUUGAAAAAACCUCGACCUCAAACGUACAUCCUUCUUAGGCCAAUCGAGUAAUUGGUGAUCAAACUGUUGGUGAUGUAGUCCCACCAUGCAUUUUGGUAUUUUUUUUAUAAAUCAAUUCAUCAAAUAUUUUAUUUAUAGAACAUUAGGAUCUCAAGCUAAAUCGUGAUUUCUUUUUGAAGUUCCUCAUAAAACUCGAGAAGAUCGAGUUGAAUAUCAAGAUCAUGUGGAUACUCAUCAUAUCAUAAUUCUUGCAUUGCAAAGUGAUCAUCGUAUUCACGAUCAACAUCUCUAAUCAGUAGUGGGCCUCGAUUCAUCUCUACAACAAAAUCUAGCGUUGGAUCUUUAUGCUAGCGAGCACUCUCUUCUCGAAUAAUAAUAUUCAUCAACCAUUACAACCAUUGAUUCAUUUCUUGAAUGCCGUUUCGAACAUCUUCCAUGACUUUGGUAGAUUUUCUAAAAUUUGGCACAUGCGAUCAUUGAUAUCAUGAUUAGGUUUCUAUGGCAUUGUGAUGGUUAGAUUUUCUUUGCUCUGAUACCAACUAAUGUAGGGAGAAAAAUAAAAUAAAAUCGAUUGAGUGAUUAUACCAUCUCCCUGAGUCUACAAGGGAGUCGACCCCAAGAUUUUUUUUACUAGAUUAAACUCUUUUUUUAUUAUCUAAUCACUCUCUUUAUAUAUAAGGGACAUCUUCCUUUUACAUACAAACUUAUAAAUAAUAAUAAAAAGAGUAAUGAUCAUAUGAAACCCUCCCACCACACCCAUGUGUAUAGGAUCCCAAAAGAUUAUCAUUAAAUUUGGGACAGAUCUCUAUAAAAGUCAAGUCUCACUCCCAUAUCAUAACUUUUCUAGAGAUUUUUGCUAAAUUUAAUGGUGAUUAUUUGGGGUCCUACACACAUGGGUGUGAAAAUGUCUCAUAAAAUCAUUACUCUAAUAAAAAAAUAAAAUAAAAAAUAACAAACUAAACUCUCUCUCUCUCUCUCUCUCUCUCUCUCUCUCUCUACUACUACUACUACUCUACNNNNNNNNNNNNNNNNNNNNNNNNNNNNNNNNNNNNNNNNNNNNNNNNNNNNNNNNNNNNNNNNNNNNNNNNNNNNNNNNNNNNNNNNNNNNNNNNNNNNNNNNNNNNNNNNNNNNNNNNNNNNNNNNNNNNNNNNNNNNNNNNNNNNNNNNNNNNNNNNNNNNNNNNNNNNNNNNNNNNNNNNNNNNNNNNNNNNNNNNNNNNNNNNNNNNNNNNNNNNNNNNNNNNNNNNNNNNNNNNNNNNNNNNNNNNNNNNNNNNNNNNNNNNNNNNNNNNNNNNNNNNNNNNNNNNNNNNNNNNNNNNNNNNNNNNNNNNNNNNNNNNNNNNNNNNNNNNNNNNNNNNNNNNNNNNNNNNNNNNNNNNNNNNNNNNNNNNNNNNNNNNNNNNNNNNNNNNNNNNNNNNNNNNNNNNNNNNNNNNNNNNNNNNNNNNNNNNNNNNNNUAAAAAUAAACUAACUAAACUACUCUCUCUCUCUCUCUCUCUCUCUCUCUUGACGACAACUCUUGCAUGUCCUAACCAACUCAAUCAUAUUUAAUCCCUAUCGUAUCCAUCUUUAAAAUAAAAUAAAAAUAAAAAAAGAGAUAUCAAAUUUUCAAUUCUACCCCUUAAAUUUCGACAACUAAAAAAGGAACAAAAUAACCCUAAAAAAAUUAAAAAUCCACAUAACAUAUUUUCUAAGUCUUAAAAAAAAAAAUUACAUUUUUUAUUUGCAACCAUAUAUAAUCUUUUCCAAAUUUAAAAGAGGUGAGAUAGACAUUGUGAUACAAUAUUUUAUAGAAAUAUUAUAUAAAUUUGGUAGAAUUUACAAUAAAAGAAAUAAAGACGAAAAAGAGAGAGAAGAAAAAUCAACAAAUCACAUACGUGGUUCGACAAUGAUGCCUACGUCCACAGAGAGUAAACCAAUGCCUCAUUUAUAGGGAUUACUCUGGUUUACUAGAUAUUUAUAUAGUUACAACUCUUGCUUUUUUGGAAAGAAAUCUCACUACAACUGUAAUCCCACAAAAUAAGAAAGUCAAUAAAGUCAAUAUAUAUUCUCAAUAAUUGAUAGUUGUAAAUCAAUAUAUAUCAUCAGUAUUUGAUAAUUGUUAACAUUCCCUCUCAAGUUGGUGCAUAGAUAUCAAUGGAGCCCAACUUGAAUAGUAUAUAAUGGAACUUUGUCUUUACAAUAGCUUUGGUAAACAUGUCUGCAAGUUGGUAUUCACGUCGAAUAGAAUGAGUACAAAUAAUAUUUUACUGAAUAUUUUCUCUCAUGAAGUGAUAAUUAACUUCUAUAUGUUUAAUUCUUUCAUGAAAAAAUUAGAUUAGAGGCUAUAUGCAUAGCUGCUUGAUAACCACAAAACAUCUCCACUGGAUUGUUGGGAACCCCAUAUCUCGAAGUAAAUAUUUUAGCCACAUCAAUUCACUUGUGGUUGAAGUCAUAGCUCUAUAUUGAGCCUCUGCAAUAGAUCGAGCAACUACAUUUUGUUUCUUAUUUUUCCAAAUAGCCAAGUUCCCUCCGACCAACGUACAAUAAUCGGUAGUGGACCUCCUAUCAAUUGGACUCAGCAUCAUAAUAACCAAUAAUAUUAGUGUGAUCAUUCAGUUUCAAUCAAACACCUCUACCAGGUAACGACUUAAGAUAUCUGACAAUCCUAUCGACAGUCUCCAUAUGACAUGAUCUAGGAGCAUGCAUAAUUAGCUCACAAGACUAACUGCAUACAUUAUAUCUAGUCAUGUCAUAGUCAAAUAAAUCAAUCUGCCCACAGGCCUUUGAAAGCGGCUACAUCUUCAAGAGGUUUUUCAUUUAUUAAAUUAAGUUUGCAAUUAAUAUCGAUAUUAGUGUCUCAGCUUCUCAGUUUCUUUCAACAUAUCUAAUAUAUAUUUCUUUUGAUAAAUAAAGAGUCUAUUUUUUUAAUGUAUUAUUUCAAUGCCAAGAAAAUAUUUUAAUUGACCAAGAAUCUUGAUGUCAAAUUUCUUGUGAAGGUAAUUUUUAAGCUUCAUGAUGCUUUCGUUAUCAUUGCCUGUAAUGAAAAUAGCGUCAAUAUAAAUUAGUACAACUGUUGUACUUGAAGUUGUUUUUUUUGUAAAUAUCGAAUAAUCAUUUGAACUUCUAAAAAACCUGGCACUCGUCAAGGAUUUGCUGAGUUUGGCAUACCUUGCGCGAUGUGAUUGUUUAAGUUCAUACAAAGCCUUCUUUAAUUUGCAUACAAGGCCUUUCUCUUUUUCUUUAAAACAGUCUGGAUGAAGACUCAUAUAGAUUUCUUCUUCAAGAUUACUAUGUAAGAAGACAUUUUUAACAUCCAUCUGAUCCAAAAAAACUCCUACAAUUAACAACAAUAGAUAAAAUAACACGAACAAUAUUCAUCUGGGCAACUAAUGCAAAAAUCUCUUAUAGUCCACUCCAUAUGCUUGGGUAAAUCCUUUGACCACCAACCUGGCCUUAUAUCUCUCAACAGACCCAUCACUAUCCCUUUUAAGUAGAUGAGUAUUCAAUAAGGAUACAUCUAUUGAAAUAUUUAUCAGGUUUUUCUCGGUUGUGCCCAACCACAUGAGCAUAAGACACGCAUCCAAAUACUCGCAUAUGAGACAAAUCAAUUUUUUUAUUUUUCAAAAUUUAAAGAGGAGAUUUAUCCUUAAGAAUUUUACUUGAAAAUAUGUUAAUUAGAUAGCAAGCAGUUAAAAUAGCUUCAGACCACUUAAUUUUUUGGAACAUGCUUCUAAAACAUCAAAGACAUUGUAGCUUACAACAUGUAUCUAUUUUUUUUUCAACAACUCCAUUCGGCUGAGGUGUUCCAACACACGAUGUUUGAUGUAUAAUACCAAGUUUCAAUAAAUGCUCAAAAAAAGCUCUGUUCACAUACUUUGUGCCAUUAUCAGUCCGCAAAAUUAUAAUUUUACCAUCAUAUUGUGUGAAAAUCAGUUUGGAGAGGUCUUUGAACACAAGGAAAACUUUUGUUUUUUAUUUCAAUAAAUAUAUCCAAGUAGCACGAGACCAAUCAUCAAUAAAAGUAGCAAAUAUUUAAAGCCGACAUAAGAAUCAACUGGGGCCGGUCCCCACACAUCAAAAUGUAUCAAAUAAAAAGGUUCAUUUGAAAUAUACAUAGAAGACUGAAAAGGAAGUCUUGUAUGUUUUAAGAAUUUACAGACUUCACAAGAAUGAGAGUUUAAAGAUAGAGAGGGCAUCAAAAAUUUUAAAACUUUAUCUGAGGGAUGUUCAAAUCUCCAAUGCCACAAUUUAUUAAUAGCGGAAUUAUCUUGACUGACAAUAAAAGUCUUAUUCUCCUGAUUAAUAAAUAUAGUCCAUGAGAUAGUCUUCCUUCAUCAAUCUUCUUCCCCAUGACACGGUCUUGGAAAGUCCCCAUGGCCCGGUCUUUAGUAAUUUUACUAACAAACAUCAAGUUAGAUGAAAAUGAUGGCAUAACAGAACUUCAGAGUUACGAGAUUUGGAGAAGAAAUUCAUCCUACCAACAUUAUGUACAGGAAUCAAUGAACCAUUAGCAAUAGACACAUUGUUAAUAUUUUUCUUGUUUUUGAAGUUGGAUAGACUAUGAUUUGUGGCCCCUGAGUCUAUUAUCCAAGGAAAAGUGUCGCUAGAAGACAUGAAAGCAGUGCUACUUGUGUCUGGGAAUGAAGAAGAACGAUCGUGUGUGGAAGAAAAACCAUUUUGUUACUUGGUUGAUGGUAAUGAUCAACGCUUUCUUCAGAAAUUUUGAAAUUGAGAUUUAUGAUUUUAUUUCUAUUUAUGUGUCUAACUUUAGAUUUUCCAAAGAGAGAACGUGAAACGGUUUUCCACCAAGCAAGAUAAUUAAGUCCGUUUAAAAGAACAAUAGUAAGUUUCAUGCUAGAGUUAUGUUCUGAAUUUGUCAUUAUAAAGAAAAAUCGGGAACCAGAAGACUGACUUGAUCAAUAGCAAGAGCGAUAAAAGAAUGGAAGUCCUUCAAUCAGAACUGAUCGAAGAUCCCAAUGAGAAUUAUAAUUCAUCUCUCUAGAAAUUGUCGAUGUGCAUACAACUGCCAGUGAAUUAAUGCUUACAGUGCCAAUAAUAAUUGCUUUCUCUCUCAUCACCUCGAUUCUUAUGCGAUUCAAAUAUCAUUUAGACGUGCUUCCAACACAUCAACAAGGAUGAGAGGUACGGCAAGUCCGCAUCAAUAACUUGGUCGACUUGAGGGGAGCACAAAACGUUACCGUUCGCAAGAGAGCCAUUUGCAACAGAUUUGCAUUGCGUGAGGAUGCUCUUUGGCUCUACAUAGAGUCACGAAAACAUUAGUUUGUGAACCCUUUGCACCAGCCGUAUAACCCUCACUUUGCAAAACCUUUGCGGCAACAAUAUGAACGUCGGUAGUAUGUAAACCUUUUGCAGCCACAAUAGCAACUUCCCUUGCAAACCAGUAUGCAAUUUGAAAAAUAAUAGAUGAGGAUGCCUAAUUGUAUGGGCUCAAAGUCUAAAAUAAAAAUUUUAAAAUAUUGUGACAUAAUAUCACGUAUCAGCUAUUGAUUNNNNNNNNNNNNNNNNNNNNGGUAGAGUUAUGUUCUGAAUUUGUCAUUAUAAAAAAAAAUCGGGAACCAGAAGACUGACUUGAUCAAUAGCAAGAGCGAUAAAAGAAUGGAAGUCCUUCAAUCAGAACUGAUCGAAGAUCCCAAUGAGAAUUAUAAUUCAUCUCUCUAGAAAUUGUCGAUGUGCAUACAACUGCCUGUGAAUUAAUGCUUACAGUGCCAAUAAUAAUUGCUUUCUCUCUCAUCACCUCGAUUUUUAUGCGAUUCAAAUAUCAUUUAGACGUGCUUCCAACACAUCAACAAGGAUGAGAGGUACGGCAAGUCCGCAUCAAUAACUUGGUCGACUUGAGGGGAGCACAAAACGUUACCGUUCGCAAGAGAGCCAUUUGCAACAGAUUUGCAUUGCGUGAGGAUGCUCUUUGGCUCUACAUAGAGUCACGAAAACAUUAGUUUGUGAACCCUUUGCACCAGCCGUAUAACCCUCACUUUGCAAAACCUUUGCGGCAACAAUAUGAACGUCGGUAGUAUGUAAACCUUUUGCAGCCACAAUAGCAACUUCUCGUGCAAACCAGUUUGCAAUUUAUUUAUGUGAAAAAUAAUAGAUGAGGAUGUCUAAUUAUAUGGGCUCAAAGUCUAAAAUAAAAUUUUUAAAAUAUUGUGACAUAAUAUCAUGUAUCAGCUAUUAAUUUAUAUUUAAUAAUUAAAAAUAAGUGUGAUCUUCUUAAAUAUAAAAUAAAUAAUCUUAUAUUGUACAAUCUUUUUUUUUAUAAUAAAACUUACAUACCAUCACUCCCAUAUCCCAAUAAUUGUUGGUUUAUGCUCUAUGACCUUGAGUGCUUUGCUUUAGCAACAUUUUCCCCAUUGAUAUAAAACUUUCCAUGGUCAUUAGGCACCUAUGAGAAUCUAUCUCCACCAUAACUCCUCUUGCAUAAAACAUUUUUUAAUAUUAACCUCCAAGCCCUUUGUAUCCUCCCAUUUGUAAAAUUGAGAGAUAAUUAGGGAUCUUUCCGGCCCCAAAUUCCUCCAAUUUUCUUCCCCAAAAAUAUCUCACAAUUGCCAAAAUUAGAACCAUGUCUUAUGAAUCUUUGGUUAUUGCCCUUUGUUAGUGAAAAUGCAGCAUGUAUUCCUUUCCAAGCUCAAAGGCCCCUCCCAACCAAAACAAUUGUUCUAAAAAUUCAAAUGUAUAAUAAUAUAUCAGAUUUAUAUAGCGAACUCCAAUUAAUUGAAAAAAGAUUUUGAUGAUGAUGACUUCCUAUCAAUUACACCCACAUUUAUUGGCGAUGGCCAAUUCCCAUCCUAAUUUAGUAUAAUUUUUUUUUUUUUUAACCCAAAAAAUAAAGUAUUUCUAAUAUAUUCCUUUAUUAUUAUUAUUAUUCUUAUUUUCUUAUAUUUUUAAUAUAUGAUUGGGACUGGACCUUGCCGAGUACCCCCAAGUUGUAUGUACAAUUAGGGUUUACAUGAAAAAAUUUAAAAAAAAAAAAGUAAAAAACUCUCUCUCUCUAUAACAUUUGCAAAGUCGGCAGAGUAAUUCCCACUCAACCAAGUUACCAGGGCUCGGGCCCUUGCUGAGCCCGAGCUGGGUGUCCAACUCGGGGAUAUUAAAAAAAAUUCAAAUAAAAUGUAAAAAAUAUUUAAAAAUAAUGAAUUUAUUUGAAAUAUGUUUUUUAUACUUUUUAUCAUUUUGACGAAGAUGGGAAAGUGUUUUAACCAUAAAUACUUAUUUUUAUUUUUAAUCAUUUUUUGAUUAUUUGAAAAUUACCUCAACUUCAUUUUGAUAUGUUUUUGCUUAAUCUUACUUUAAACAUAUAUUUUUUAUUUUUUAUUUUUAAUAAUGUUUUGAACCAUUUUUUUGUUUCUACAAUACUCGGCACUACUUGGACCGAGUUAUUGGGACUCGGUCAGAGUACUGUGAUCGGGCAUGUGCUUGAGUACUCAACCCGAGCAGUUAGUUUCCAACACUCCCUCUAACCCCUUUUCCAGUCCCCUCUCCCCCUCCCUCCCUCCCUCCCUGUCCUUUUUCCAUCUCUCUAAUUUCCAGUACAAUACCCCAAAGUUUAGCAUCACCUCUAAGCAAUUUCACAAACAUUUUCAAUCUCCACAGCCCUUGCUGCAAAUCCAUACCAAUCUUCUCUCUCCUUGGUUGGGCUUCUCAAACAUAGAAGAUGAAGACCCCACGAGGGAUAGGUUAUUAAGGUCCUUGCAGUAGCAUCACCACACCUAAUCACCACAUUGUAGUUUCUCUUCUUAUCACUAACACUAUCUCACUAAUACUUUUAAAAAUAUCACUCUUAAUCUACUUUAAAAAAAAAAAACGGGUAAAACCUGUAUUCCCCAUUGAAUAACCAAAAAAAAAAAAAAAUCCCAAUAUGGAUGGCAAUGGACCCAUACACGACCCGAAACUCGAGGGGUACACCUGAUCUCGAUCUAAAUAUGGAUCAAAAUAUUUGACCCGACGGAUUAAAUCCAUGUUCAAAUCUUGGACCUAAACACUAUUCAGAUUUGAGUGUGAAUUUGAGUCCAAAACCAUCAUUGCCGCCCCUAAACCCCAUAACUGCUGAGGCAUGGAGGGAAAGGAGAUACGAAAAAGAUUUGAGAGAAGUGGAGGGGUUACAUGGCGGGGUUUGGAGAGAAUUGAGGGCUGCGUAGCCCAAGGCCGGGGCCAUGGAGGGAAAGGAGAUAUGACAAAGAUUUGAGAGAAGCGGAGGGGUUACAUGGCCGGGUGUGGAGAGAGGGGAGGGCUGCGUGGCCCGAGGCCGGGGCCAUGAGAGAUUGAAUAGACCUCUCUUUCCUUACCGGAGGGAGAAGGAUCUGUUUUGUCAAUCUCUCUCCACCCCAUUUGUGGGAAGAAAGAGAGAUCGGAUCGACCUCUCUCUAUGGGAAGAACGCUGUUCGUUUUGUGAAAGAAUCAUUUACCGAACCUACCAAAUUUUCCAGUCCUCCAACCAGCUUUCCCACCACUAACUAUUCUACUAAAAAUUGGCAAACCAGAUCACAACGAGCCAAUUCGUAUUAGGAAGUCGUUAGGCCGUUUUGGGAUUUGACAAAGCAUUUGAACAAACUAGCUCCCCUCUAAACUGGCUAGUUUUUUAAGAGAAGCAACUAAUCCCACUGUAAUUACUAAUAUUCUUUAUUAUUUUUUAUUUUUUUUAAGAAAAAUUUAUCGACAGAUUCACUCCACACAAGACCAAUCCAGCCAAAUUUUCCAGCCAGGCCAGUGACGCAUGACACCGUUCAAGGGCAAUCAUGCAAUUUUUUCACAAUGCGUGUGUAAAAUGACCAAUGCAAAAGGCCAGCAAAGGUGGGGACAAAGAUGAUAGCAUAAACCCAAAAGCAUCACGGGUGAUGAUCCCUCACUGUCCGGGACCAUUUUCUCUCUUUAACUUUGAAAAGCAUCUCUCUCUCUCUCUCUCUCUCCUCCUUUAUUCACAUGGCAUGCAUAGAUCAAUAUAUAAAAAUAAGGCUCUCCUCAUGAUAAAGCACCACCACCAAACGUUCACAAUUAUUGAUGGAUGAGAGAGAGAGUAGCUGACAUUUACAUAGAUUCAGACCACACACACUAACCGGGAAGAGAGGCGAACAAAACAAAACCUACACGUCUCCCCUUUGCAUUUACACAAAGCCUGCAACUCUUUAGAGAUCAGUGGAGAGAGAAAAGUCACCAAAAUGAAAGGAAACCCAACAACUUCUGCAAAUUUUGAGGCUAUGCCCAACAACUUCUGCAAAUUUUGAGGCUAUGUUUAAGAUCUGGAUUUAAAGGGAAUGGCCCUGAUCACAAUUUGGUGGUAAACAGCAGCAAGAGCAGCUCCAAUGAAGGGACCCACCCAGAAAAUCCACUGCAAAACAUUUGUAAUCAUGGUUUUAGAGAGAGAAAAUAGAAGGUAGACCUUUACCAAAAAAAAAAGAAAGAAAGAAGAUAGACUGGUUAGAGGAGAGACAGAUGAUGAAAGAGAGUGGAUUAGAUGGUCUGAUUAGAGAGAUAAAGCCUUUGAGUCUUCGACAGAUGAUGAGAGAGUGGAUUAGAGACAGAAAGUAAAGACUGGUGGACAAACAAAAUAGAGCAGUCGAGAGAGAUUAGAAAGAGCAAAAGUAGAGAGAGAAAGAGAGUAAAGUCUGAAAGUGAAAUCGAAUAAAGAGUACUCAGACUAUCAGAGUAAGAAUUGAGCAAAGAUUAGUAGAGAGAAAUGAGGGGAGAGACCUGUAGAGAGAGAAAGAGGUAGAGUGAAAACAGAGUAGAGAGAGAAAAUAUAGUAGAGAGAGAAGAAACAUACAUGGUCGUCCCAGGCUUGGUCUCG
rnacentral:lncRNA from 1 species